rnacentral:lncRNA from 1 species
GCUUAUGCUCCUAAGAAGCCUUACGCAGAGUGUGACAAGCCUAAGCCAAAACCCACACCUCCUCCUUACUAUUAUAAGUCUCCACCACCACCAUCACCUAAACCAUACUACUACAAAUCCCCGCCUCCUCCUCCUCCAACUUACGUGUACAAGUCCCCGCCACCACCGGCUUACGUGUACAAGUCACCACCACCACCGGCUUACAUAUACAAGUCGCCGCCACCUCCUUCACCUAAGCCAUACUACUACAAGUCACCACCUCCUCCGACUUACGUCUACAAGUCUCCACCACCACCUGCUUACGUGUACAAGUCGCCUCCACCACCGGCAUAUGUGUACAAGUCACCACCACCUCCUUCACCUAAGCCAUACUACUACAAGUCACCACCUCCUCCGACUUACGUCUACAAGUCUCCACCACCACCUGCUUACGUGUACAAGUCGCCUCCACCACCGGCAUAUGUGUACAAGUCACCACCACCUCCUUCACCUAAGCCAUACUACUACAAGUCACCACCUCCUCCGACUUACGUCUACAAGUCUCCACCACCACCUGCUUACGUGUACAAGUCAUACUUGAGUGCAUUGAAGCCAUUAUCCUGAUCCUUAAUGAUACCGUCCAGAAUUUUGUGGCGGGUGACUACUACUCCACACCCCCCCCCCCCCCCCCCCCCCCCCCCCCGCCUCCUCCUUACUACUAUAAAUCCCCACCACCUCCUUCCCCAUCUCCGCCUCCACCAUACUACUACAAGUCCCCACCCCCACCAUCACCAUCUCCGCCUCCACCGUACUACUACAAAUCUCCCCCGCCUCCAUCACCAUCACCACCCCCUCCAUACUACUAAAUAUCUCCACCUCCUCAGUCACCAGGGCGUGGUUUACGCAAGACCCCCCCCCCCCCCCACCCCCACCCCCCCCCCCUCCAUAUUACUACAAGUCUCCACCCCCACCAUCACCAUCUCCCCCGCCCCCGUAUUACUACAAGUCUCCCCCUCCUCCAUCGCCAUCACCGCCUCCUCCUUACUACUACAAGUCCCCUCCUCCUCCGUCACCAUCUCCACCACCACCAUACUACUACAAAUCUCCUCCACCACCAUCUCCCUCACCACCUCCACCAUACUACUACAAGUCUCCACCUCCUCCGUCACCAUCUCCACCACCACCAUACUACUACAAAUCUCCUCCACCACCAUCUCCCUCACCACCUCCACCACACCCCUACAAGUGUCUACUACAAAUCUCCCCCACCACCAUCUCCCUCACCUCCACCACCGUACUACUACAAGUCCCCUCCCCCUCCAUCUCCCUCACCACCACCACCAUACUACUACAAAUCUCCCCCACCACCAUCUCCCUCACCUCCACCACCGUACUACUACAAGUCCCCUCCCCCUCCAUCUCCCUCACCACCACCACCAUACUACUACAAAUCUCCCCCACCACCAUCUCCCUCACCUCCACCACCGUACUACUACAAGUCCCCUCCCCCACCAUCACCCUCACCACCACCACCAUACUACUACAAGUCUCCCCCACCACCAUCUCCUUCACCUCCACCACCGUACUACUACAAGUCCCCUCCCCCUCCAUCUCCCUCACCACCACCACCGUAUUACUACAAAUCUCCACCACCUCCUUCCCCAUCGCCGCCACCUCCUUACCACUACAAGUCUCCCCCACCACCAUCACCAUCUCCACCACCACCAUACUACUACAAGUCCCCUCCUCCUCCCUCACCGUCACCACCACCACCAUACUACUACAAGUCCCCACCACCACCAUCGCCAUCACCCCCUCCUCCAUACCACUACAGCUCACCUCCCCCACCGGUGAAAUCACCACCACCACCGGCAUACAUCUACUCAUCUCCCCCACCACCAACCCACUACUAGGCUCAAACGCCUCGGCAACACACCACCAAUGUAAGUUCCAUAAUCAUUUCUCCAUUCCAUCAAACUCUAUAUUUCAUUCCUUAACAGCUUUUCUAACAGUACUACUUUCCAUUUCAGAUUUAAGAAUUGACGAUGUAAUAAAAGAAGGCUCCAAUCAUGGUCUGAUAAACCCAACAUCAUCAAUUAGUGCCAAUAAUAACAACAGCCGAUAUGGUUCAGUAUGCAGAGUUGCUAUCCUGCACAUGGCAAUCUUGCUGUGUUCAUCAUCAUCAUCAUCAUCAAGUGGAGUUUUGUUCAAGAAGACGACAUUUGGGAAAUUAAGCAACUAUUCUUAGUUAUCGGAUUUGAUGAUCAAUUGGGUUUGUUCAGAGUUUAUUUGUUUAGUUGAUGUAUGUAAAAUCUAUUUGUUAUUUAGUUUUCCAGCUUUAAUUUUUUGUUGGGGAGGAUUUGGGAAAUGCGUGCUUAAUUAUGUUAUGGAAAUGCUAAUAUUAUAUAAAUUAUUCAAUGUUUAUGUUUGGGGAAGCAACGCAACGCAACGCAAAAUUGAUGUAAUUGCAAUUUUUUAUUGGAGCUUCUUCUACUUAUGUUUGACCUCCCUGCAGAUUGCGAGUAAUAAAGUAAACCCAUUUCAUAUUCUGAUUUUUCGAUUCAAUUUCGAUCGAAAUUACUUACUCACAAAUAAACUUCACUUAGCUUCAAUCUUUAGUAGGCCACUACUGAUCACGACUAUCUUUACAUUGCCUAAAUCGUUCAGAAAUUUGAAUCAGACCGGCCAACCAGCUUAACCGGUUUGGUAACGGCCGGGGAGGUUAAUUUGUUGCAUGCAUCAGAUGACUUGUCUUGUUGGCAUACAUAUGAAUAUGUACAUCAACUAGGUAGCCGGCCAUACAUAAUUAGGGAAACAGGUUGCAGCAGAAAGUCAUAGCUUAGUUAACUCUGGCAAACAAAACAACAAUCAUUUAGUGGAGGAGUUGAAAAUCGAAAUCCUAAUCAUGAUUAAUCCUCGUCAUUAAUCUCAUCAGCAGCUGUUUACUUUAGAGAAAAUGACGACCAAUGGAGCAGGUGAAUUCCACAGUUGGAACGUCACUAUCGACAUUUACGUACAUGUGCUUAUUUAAUAUGCGUUUUCCACCUGGCUUACCAGUUAUUCCAAUCUUCAAGAGUAACUCGCUUGCCAUAAAAAAAUCUAGUGGCUUUGAUUUUUAUUAUCUAUUCUGUAGACAACUUUCAAAUGAUAAUGUUGCUGCUCAUUACUAUUUUUUAACUAAUAAUUGCCUACUUUCUUGCUGGUGACGUUUCAAAAGUUGAUGUGGACUGGGCCUCAAUCCAGCUUAUCACGCCUAUAAAGGUUCUAAGGCCCACAAGGAACAGUCCAGCAGACUCUGGCCCAACAUUUUGCGCCUUCUAGUGGCCGGUUUCGACCGAUCAUGCACCCGCCCGGGCGAUGAUUUUUUGAUGCCUUCCAGUCCCUGGUGUCCGUAUGUGGUUGGUAAAUUUCGCCACAUGUGUCAACUUGAUUCACAGACCAAGCUACAUUCAUUGCCUACGUUAACGUUAGGCCUGGGAUCCCGUCCGACCAGGGUUACUUAUAAUCACUCAAACCGGAUUUUCGGCUAAUCAGAUUACUAAAAUCACUGACCGAUUCCGGACUGGCUGGAGUGUCUGAGUAGCAUGUACCCGUCCAGGUUGAUCACAUUAGACAAAAAUUGGUAUGUUAACCGAUAACGAGGUUAAAUGAGUGACCUCACUCGACCCUAAACAUAAAAAAAUCCAAUUAAUUUGGGAUAUUUGUUACCCGGAUUUAACCGGUCAAGUUAUUAGUUAGACUGCAUACCCAGACCCAGAAUUCCCAAUCCCAGGCUACACACUCACGAUGAUCUUCAAAAGGAACAUGCUGAUGGUUUGACCGACAUGUGUUUAUUAUCAGAAUAUUAUAAGUAGAGGGUAUAUAAACCUCUAUAUUAUUGGUAACAAAGUUAUGUAUAACUUGAAUGAUCCUUUCAUAUUUUAGUUUUUUCCUUUUGAUGUUUUCAUAACUCGAACGAUAAGAUCAUAACGUACAAAUAAACUUACUAUAUUGAUAGAUUUGUAUAUUGAUGAUCCAAAAGUAUAAAGUUUGAAUCCGAUUACUAUGUGUCAUGGGCCAUUCCCUUGUUUGUUUGGCAUGUUGUCAUGUGUACCAAAUUACUAAACAAGCAGGUAAAACUAAAAACCUUUGAUCAAGUGAAUUCUUUUUGGGCCUUUGCUAUUCUCUUAAUUAGACCCAAUAGCGAUAAAGAAACAAAAUCUAACAAGAGCUAUAGGGCCCGGCCCAUCAUUCGUUUGAAGCCCAUCCAGCUCUUCCCAAAAUAAUAGACAGAAACACCUGUAAAUAACAGCACACCAACCGCGAACAACUGUACCCAACGACACCGACGCCCUCUCUUCUCUUCCGAACUAAUUUAAAGGUAAUAUAUAUAUAUAUAUAUAUAUAAUCCAUCAAAUGGUAAAAUAAACUUCUCCAUUUCAGGAGCAAUUUCCGCGUAUCUCUCUUCCCUCGCUCUCUCUGUCUCUCUAGCAGGUCUUGGUCGCCUUGCUGGAAGAAAAUUCCUUCGUCUGACCGCCUUCGGUCAGAUCUCCGGCUGAUUCAGAUUCUGUUUUUGGGCCGGCACAUUCCAUCGCCGAUUAGGUUCGUUCUCUUUUCUCAUUUCCUUGUCUGCGAUCUGGUGUUCCAUUUCUAUUUGUCCAAUUCCACGUGAUCUGAUCUCCAGCUAUCUUCUGGGUGAUUUUUUGCUCCUAAUUCAGCUCAGUUGUGUCCUUGCUUAUGUUUCUGUUGAUCGGAGAUUGCCAAUUUUUCCAAACAUUGUUGCCCUAUCGUGAUUCGGAUUCGUUUACUGUUGAUUGUUUUUUUUUUUGGCGUAUUUUCCUUUUCGUGCGAUGCGUCAUGACGAAUCAUCUCUUCGAUGCGUGGCAGUCUGUGUUCGUCGGAUUUAUUCUUUGCGUUGUAUGCUCUGGAUCAAUGGAUGUGAUCUUACUCUACUUUUAUUCUGCUGGGUAACUUUAUUGUCCGUUAAAAUUUGAUUGGUGCUUUUCUUUUUAACUAGUGGAAUGGAAUUUAGUUGAAUUUGAGUUAGGCUUACGUAAUCUACAUUGUUGGAAAAAUCAAUUGUUUGUGUUCCGUGGUAGUUGCAUUUAGUUGUCUACUAAUGUUUGAAAGUUCUACAAGAGAUUGCCCAAAUUGUGAUGUUAAUUUCUGGUGUUGCAGUCAUUUUACUUUGAGGUUCUUCGCCGUUUAAUUUUCUUCUUGUCAAGUAUUAUCAAGCUGUUGAUAGUUUACUUUCUAUAUGUGAUGGUCUCUUAUGCAGUAUUUGUUUCUCUUGAGAUGCCACUUAUUGUUCUCUUUGUUGCUAACAAUUCUCAUUUUGAUUGCUGAUAGAGAUUAGUCUUCAUUACACUGUAGAUUGAAGUACAGCAAUGAAGAAGGUCUUCGACCAGACUGUUAGGGACUUGUAAGUGCUUCACUAUUAUCUAUUCUUCGACCAGACUGUUAGACAUGUUCUUAACAAUUUUUUUUGCCUAUUUACUUGUGUCUGUAGAAAGAGAGAGGUGAACAAGAAAGUGCUUAAAGUACCAGGCAUAGAGCAGAAGGUAUAUUUCAGAGUUUCCUGAAAUGUUUUGCACGGAAUAUGAUUAUCGGAAAAGCAUAUUAUUAUUUUUAUAUUAUCCACUAUACCCCUAGAAAGCUAUACCCUAAGCUUCAGAUCUGAUGAACUUAAAUCAUAUAUUGCUCGUCUUUCAAAAAGAUCAUCAGAUAUUCUUCACUCAUAACUUGCUUCUUUUCCAAGUUCCCUCUGAAUGAGUCGUUUUUUUUAGGUUCUUGAUGCUACAAACAACGAGCCCUGGGGUCCUCAUGGAUCACUGCUUGCAGAUAUCGCACAAGCUACCAGAAACUAGUAUGAUUCUACACUCUGUCUGCUGGUGCUUUAGAUUGGAUACUUAAUCAUAAUAAGUUAAUUCUGUAACUGUUUGUGCAGUCAUGAAUACCAGAUGAUUAUGUCAAUUAUCUGGAAACGAAUCAAUGACACAGGCAAGAACUGGCGACAUGUCUACAAGGUUUGUGCAGCGCUGUGUACAGUUGUUUAGGAUAUUCGCAUACGCUUGAUGCUAAUCUAUCUUUGUCAAAAAUGUGAUAUUGAUAUCAACGGUCAUGCACCCACUUUACUGUUGCUCGUUUUGUCUGGCUUAGUUUAAUUGUACAGAUUUCUCCUUAAGUAUUUUUGCUAUAUGUAGUAUGUCCGUACUUCAAAGACUUUUCGCUAUAAUUUUUGCUGCUUGAUUUUUUUGUGCGACGGUCUAGUUUAUUGCCAGUAUGUUCACUCACUGCAUGUCGCUUGUGCGGCUUGAUUUCAAUGUAAAGAUUUCUGAAGUAUUUUCGCUUGCAUUUAGUAUGUCACACACCUAACUUUACUGAUUUUUUGCUGCUUGAUUUCAUUUUAUGAUGUUGCACUGUUGUUUUAGUAUGUUCAUUUACUGCAUGUGUCUUAAUCUUAUGCUUCUUAUACUGCAUGGCAAGAAAGUGCUGAAAUUCUCUUGUGUGGGUUCAGGGGUUGACUGUCUUGGAAUAUCUAGUGGCUCAUGGGUCAGAACGAGUCAUAGAUGACAUAAAAGAACAUGCUUAUCAGAUAUCGGUGAGGCUCGGUUUUUGUAUGAUUGCAAUUGCUGCAACCUUGUAUUUCCUUAAUAUUGUUGCAGCUCCAUAGGGUUGCAGCAAAGUAGCUUUAUUGGUGCCUAACCAGCUGUUUUUUUAUGUAUGUUAGACACUGUCCGAAUUUCAGUACAUUGAUUCCAGUGGAAGAGACCAGGGUAGCAAUGUCAGGAAGAAAUCUCAAAAUCUUGUUGCUCUGGUGAAUGAUAAAGAAAGGAUUGUUGAAGUUAGACAGAAAGCUGCCGCUAACAGGGAAAGGUGGAUUUGUUUUUGAACCAUAGCUUGUCUAACGGUUUUAAAUUGCCAACAAUUUGUAUUUAAUUUACAGCUUUUCUACAUUGAAGUCCAAUAAAUCACUUCAAAUUGUUAUUUUAAUUCCGAAAAAUGCAAAUAACAAUAGUUGGUGGUAUGCUUCCUUUUUAUAGGUUCCGCAGCCCAUCAGCAGGUGGAAUGCACAGGCCUGGUUCUCAUUCUGUUGGAGGAUAUGGCGAACGGUAUGAUGAUGAUCGCUAUGAGGGCCGCUAUGGAAAUAGGGAUGAAGAGCGGAAUGGAUAUGGAAGAGAAAGAGAAAACAAUUAUAGGGACGAUGACCGAUAUGGUAGAUAUGGCGAUUCAUAUAAUCGGGAUGGAAACAGAGAUGAAGAACGCUAUGGCCAGGAUGGAGACAGGGAUGAUGCUUACAGGGGAAGAAGUCGUAGCAAUGAUGGCUAUGGUUCGAGAGGCAGGAGUUCUGAUAGAGAUCAAGGCCAUGAUGAAGAUGGCCAAUACUCAUCUCGGUAUAUUGCAACUUACUUUAUGAAGCUCGUUGUUACUUGAAUUGCUUCAAUAUGUUUUUGAUUUCCUAGUUAGCAAAUUCUAUAAUUUUGAAGAUGUAUCUCUUGUCCAGACUUUGAAUUUUUAGCUGAAGUGUUUUCAUCCGAUCUUUUCAAAAGAAAUUUAGUGGCUUUGAGGCUUGUGAUAUGUGAAGAAUGCACAAGGAAACUAGUAAAACAAAGCUUUUGAAGAAAGGGUACUUAGGAAAUCAGGGGCCAUAGUGAAUAUCUAUCUGCUGGCUGUAUUGGCAUAGUAUAUUCUUGUGAUGUUGCCGACAAGCUUAUGCCUUCCAUUUUAAAUUAAAAAGCAUUACUGACAGUGGACAGUAGAGGUGAGGUAGCUGAGCGAUGCCUUGAUUCACUGUAGUGGUAGUUGUGCUAGAGCGAAUGAUCACUCCCACGAUGGGAGGUAAAUGAAUAUAUAUGUUCUUUGCCUUUUCUCAUUGGUGACCAUUAUUCGGAUUUCAUUUUUCUCCUGACUUUUGCAGGCCCCUUGAGAGAAAGUUUUCUGAGCAAAAUAUUGGUGCACCUCCUAGUUAUGAAGAAGCUGUAAAUGAAGCCGCUAGCCCUGCCCACAGUGAAAAGUAUUUUUCUUUGCUAACGGAACGCUUGGGCUUCUAAGUUUCAUGUAUAUUUCUGGUUUGGUUAAUUGUGAUUUGAUUUCCGUGACAGGAAUAGAGAAACUUCUGUGCCAUCUGGCCCCGUGGAAUCCUCUCCGUCAGCUCCUCUCGCUUCUUCCUCACCUGCUCCUCAAGUUUCUCAAUCUGCAAGUAAUGCCUUAAAAGAACCCUCUGGUUUCAGCUCAUCUGUCUCCCCUGCCAACCAAGAAGUAAUGGUAGAUGAAUUUGAUCCACGCGGCACUUUUGUAGGUACAUGACGAAGUUAAUGUACUUAUAAAUCUAUCAAUUGCAUGCAAGCUGUUCUUUUGUAUGUAACUGUUGCUGUUUGUUUAUUUGCAUUCUAGAUGUGACCAUAAAUAUCGAAUUGUCCACUUCUUUGUGUCUUUUUGUCUUAGAUGAUCGAGUAACGUUCCAAAGUAAACGAACUUUUUGCAUGAGAGCAGAACGUCAUAAAAUAACAAGAGUCACCUUGAAGGCGGUAGUUUUGGGUGCUCAGGAUGUCUGUUUUUUUUGCUUUAUCAUGUUUUUUUUAAGAUCGAGAAUGUAGUAAAAGCUAAAGGUUUAUAUGUGGUUUGGAUGGAAAUGGUUAAUCAAGCAUAUCUUCGUUGUUCUUAUCGAUUUCUUUGCUCCUAGAAAAGGCAACGAUCGACAAUAUAGUAAAAGCUAAUUUUGUUAUGUGGUUUGGAUGGAAAUGGGUAAUCAAGCAUGCCUUCGUUGUUUUUAUUGAUUUCUUUGCUCUAGAAAAGACAAGAGAAGGUACUUGUUGAUUAAUUCGUAGAGUCUUAUUAUUGACUUGUUAAACUUUAUGUUUUGGUGUUAGUCAUGUACUUUUUGACCACCGUGAUUGUCUAUUAUGGAAGUGGGUGUCACUUUGGAAAGCAUUAGAUGUGCUUUUUCAUAAUGUUGGCAGAUAGGAGUGCCAAUAGUUUAGCUUAUCACUAUAGAUAUGCCGAAUCUCCUUUUUAGUUGAAGCUUAUGUUUGUAUGUUCUCUUCGUCCAGCUUUUCCGACUUCCUCGGCAGCUCCAACUACCUCUACUGCUUCAGCAACUGCAAACAAUGCUGAAAUGGAUUUGCUUGGUUCUCUCUCAGAAUCAUUUGGUCCAUUAGCGGUUGUUCCAGUUUCUUCUUCAACUACUUCCUCUGAACAUUCUCAGCCAAAUUACUCGGCACCCUCAUUUGCUUCAACGCAACCAACUUUUGCCAAUCAAGUAAGCUCAUCUUGAAGCACCUUUUCACGACAUCUUAUUGUUCUUGAUGCUUCUUGACUUUUAAGGGAUGAAGCUCAUAUUUCAUUUGACGAGUGACUAGAAAAAUUUAUCCUAACUUGUUUGGAAUUGGAACACAAUUUGGUCUUGUAGGGAUUUGAAGAUCCAUUUGGUGACAAUCCCUUCAAGGCUGUUCCUUCAACUAGUGUUCUCCCAGAACAACCAAACCUUUCAGUUUCUGCUGCUGCAUCCCAGAAUUCGGCGAAUCAAUAUGCCGAAGUGCCACAUGUAACUGUUCCAAAUACUGAAAUGGAGAGGAACUCGCCCUUCGGUGAUACGACCUCUAGCUUGAGUUAUUCUGCGCCUGAUUUUCAGUCUACCUCAGCUACCUCCCAGUUCUUACCUCAAGAACUUUCCUCUUCAAAUCACGAAACUGAUAUACUAGCAGAUAUCCUCCCCCCUUCUGGGCCAGCACCACAGGCAGGGCUUCCAGCUCAAACUGGUCAAACCCCGUUCCCGGUUGGUAAUGUAUAUGGAAACUUCAAUUCACAGACAGGAUCUGCAGUUCCAGCAGCUCCAAACAUGGCUCCUCCGACUUCACAGUUCAGUAGUGGCAAUGGCAGUUUUAUGCCGCAGGGAGGUUCCAUGAGUCCAACCUCUGGAUUUACUACACAGUCAGGGUAUGGAGCUCCAGCUGCACAUCAGAUCCCUAGUCAAAUGGCAGCUGGACCAUCGGAAGCUGCUUCUUAUGCCCCUCCUGGACCAACUGCUCAGCACAACACUGGUGUCCUAGGUGGUUUCUAUGCACAAGGAGCAAGUGCUCCAUUGACUUCCCAGCCUGGUCAGUCUUUGGCUUCUCAGCCCAGCCUCUCUUCUUCAACUGGUGCACUUGUUCCCGUUUCUCAGCCGUCGAAAGACAAAUUUGAAACCAAAUCAACAGUCUGGGCUGAUACUCUCAGCAGAGGGCUCGUUAAUUUGAACAUAUCAGGAUGUAAGUACAUGAAAUUUCAUUUUAACAACUAUGAUGGAGCGUGUUCUUUAGAGGAUUUAAAAUUUGUGUUUGCUUGUGCAGCUAAGACGAAUCCAUUGGCUGACAUCGGAGUUGAUUUUGAUGCAAUUAAUCGCAAAGAAAAGAGAAUGUCGAAACCAACCACUACUACGAAUGUCGCAUCUACUGUCACCAUGGGGAAAGCCAUGGGAUCUGGUUCUGGAAUUGGCCGAGCAGGUGCAACUGGUAUAAGGCCGCAACCCUCAAACAUGAUGAUGGGUCCAAGUGCCGGCAUGGGUAUGGGUAUGGGCCUGGCUGGGGGUCCCGGACCCGGAAUGGGUAUGGGCAUAGCUGGCUCGGGUCCCGGCAUGGGUAUGGGAGGCUACGGAAGAAUGGCUCAACCGAUGGGAAUGGGAAUGAAUGGUAUGCAAAUGAACGGAAUGGGGAAUAUGCAGCAGCCUCUAAGUGGACUGCCCCAACAAGGACCACCAAUGUCGAUGCCCGGUGGCUAUAAUAAUAUGAUGAUGGGCGGAGGUGGUUACCCGCAACAGUCGUAUGGUAGAGGCUACCAGUGAAGAGAAUCGAAUUGAAUCGGCAUCACAUUUUGUUUGUUCAAGACACAAGGUAAAAUGAUUGUGAAGUGAGUUGGAAGUGGAUGCUUCUGUCCCGGAAAGCAUCCUUGGCGAGUACCUUGUUGGGAAGACUGAUUCAUGGGAUGCAUGUUGUGAUGGGUUUCUUUAUACGAUUUCUGUGUAUUCUAAUUCUAUAAGUUCCCCCUUUGUAUUUGAUUGAUAUUUUGUGAUUCAUAUGGUUUUGGGGUGAGAAGAAAGUUUGGGUGGGGGGAAGAUCAGUAGAGGGUCAAAUUGGUUUUGUUUUUAUAUACAGUUCUGUUCAACCUUUUCCAAAUUUGUAAUACUAGAACCCGCUGGAUUUGUGCCUGUCAUGCUAUGGAUUUGUGGUCUGGUUCUUUCUGACUUGAACAGGCUUAAAAACAUUCGAGCUGGUAAUCUAAGGUCCAUGCUCAUCACCCACUGCUAUAUAGCUCUGCGGAGGCCAAUUCUUUGAUUAAUCUGUACUCACGACGAAAUGUUGGAGAGAAAAUGUUGUUCCCUGGGGCGCACCGAUGGCUGGGUGUAUGCAGAGCGGAUUGCUGUACACGUCUAUCCAAAUAUUCGUAAUCAACUCCUACACACUGUAAAUGUGUUGGAUUUGAUUAGUUUGGCAAGUUGAAGGCAAGGCUUGCAUCUCAAGUCUUGGUCUCCAAAAACGUACUCUAAAUUGCAAUCUGUGGGAUUCCCCGUUUGUUCAACAUAUCUUGUGGUUUUAUUAGUGGUAGAGAUACCGUCCGUGGAUACAAUCCCUGUGAUUGUGUUAGCCAUUACUUUUGAAUGAUAUUGAUUUCAGCACCAUGCUAGCUUAUUUGCUGUUAGUUUCUAGCAACUAGUAUAUGCAGCCAAUUAAAGAAAUAAUGAAACUUGGUGGACACGUUAAAAUUUAAAGAAAUGCUAUUUAAAUUGGCAUGUAUCAGGUAAUAAUCGACGACUUUAAUGGGGGGAAAUCUGAAAAAUUAAAGGGUAAACGAUGAUAGCAAGAAUUAAAUUUCUACAUAGGAUGCCGUUGGAGAACAAGAGAUCAGCUUAGCAGAGUAUUCUUUCUCCAUCCCACUGUAUAAGAAUCAUGGAAAACCCCAGUUGAUUUCUUAGAGGAAAGAGGGAGGAAGAAGAAGCAGAGGAAGAACAAGAACUUUGACCAGCUGAUUCUGUAGUUGAAUUGGUUUGAACGGAAUUUGAAGAAUCUUCGUUUCUUCUGGAAUCAGUUUCUAGUGUUUAUUAUUCUGUUGCCAAGUCAAACUUCUCGUUCCCUUUACUUUUCCUUCCCUCCCAUUUUUGCAAGUUUCUCAUUCAAUGACUACCCAUCUUCUCCAUUUCUGAUCUACUCUUCCCCUCAAAGCUUUCAUCUUUUCCUCACAAUUCGAAAAAAAAUAUUAUAGGGUCACUGCUUUUUCUGUCGAUUUAUUCAUAUUUGCUUCACUUCUUUUCUGACUGGUCUGUGGCUAGCUAGAUCUUGGGUCUUCUGGUUCAAAGAUCAAAGCUUUAAUUCUUGCUUCUCUUCAUUCUGCUUGUCAUUCAAUCUACAGAUACCCUUUUCCAAUUAAAGUCAAACCCAGAUUGAAUAGAUGGGCAAUUGCUGUGUAACCCCAUUUUCAAAGGCGAAUAACAACAGUAAGCACACCAAGAAGAAGAGUCUGUUCUCCGGAGGUGGUCAUGGAAAUGGCGGCGGCGGCGGGGGGCGNNNNNNNNNNNNNNNNNNNNNNNNNNNNNNNNNNNNNNNNNNNNNNNNNNNNNNNNNNNNNNNNNNNNNNNNNNNNNNNNNNNNNNNNNNNNNNNNNNNNNNNNNNNNNNNNNNNNNNNNNNNNNNNNNNNNNNNNNNNNNNNNNNNNNNNNNNNNNNNNNNNNNNNNNNNNNNNNNNNNNNNNNNNNNNNNNNNNNNNNNNNNNNNNNNNNNNNNNNNNNNNNNNNNNNNNNNNNNNNNNNNNNNNNNNNNNNNNNNNNNNNNNNNNNNNNNNNNNNNNNNNNNNNNNNNNNNNNNNNNNNNNNNNNNNNNNNNNNNNNNNNNNNNNNNNNNNNNNNNNNNNNNNNNNNNNNNNNNNNNNNNNNNNNNNNNNNNNNNNNNNNNNNNNNNNNNNNNNNNNNNNNNNNNNNNNNNNNNNNNNNNNNNNNNNNNNNNNNNNNNNNNNNNNNNNNNNNNNNNNNNNNNNNNNNNNNNNNNNNNNNNNNNNNNNNNNNNNNNNNNNNNNNNNNNNNNNNNNNNNNNNNNNNNNNNNNNNNNNNNNNNNNNNNNNNNNNNNNNNNNNNNNNNNNNNNNNNNNNNNNNNNNNNNNNNNNNNNNNNNNNNNNNNNNNNNNNNNNNNNNNNNNNNNNNNNNNNNNNNNNNNNNNNNNNNNNNNNNNNNNNNNNNNNNNNNNNNNNNNNNNNNNNNNNNNNNNNNNNNNNNNNNNNNNNNNNNNNNNNNNNNNNNNNNNNNNNNNNNNNNNNNNNNNNNNNNNNNNNNNNNNNNNNNNNNNNNNNNNNNNNNNNNNNNNNNNNNNNNNNNNNNNNNNNNNNNNNNNNNNNNNNNNNNNNNNNNNNNNNNNNNNNNNNNNNNNNNNNNNNNNNNNNNNNNNNNNNNNNNNNNNNNNNNNNNNNNNNNNNNNNNNNNNNNNNNNNNNNNNNNNNNNNNNNNNNNNNNNNNNNNNNNNNNNNNNNNNNNNNNNNNNNNNNNNNNNNNNNNNNNNNNNNNNNNNNNNNNNNNNNNNNNNNNNNNNNNNNNNNNNNNNNNNNNNNNNNNNNNNNNNNNNNNNNNNNNNNNNNNNNNNNNNNNNNNNNNNNNNNNNNNNNNNNNNNNNNNNNNNNNNNNNNNNNNNNNNNNNNNNNNNNNNNNNNNNNNNNNNNNNNNNNNNNNNNNNNNNNNNNNNNNNNNNNNNNNNNNNNNNNNNNNNNNNNNNNNNNNNNNNNNNNNNNNNNNNNNNNNNNNNNNNNNNNNNNNNNNNNNNNNNNNNNNNNNNNNNNNNNNNNNNNNNNNNNNNNNNNNNNNNNNNNNNNNNNNNNNNNNNNNNNNNNNNNNNNNNNNNNNNNNNNNNNNNNNNNNNNNNNNNNNNNNNNNNNNNNNNNNNNNNNNNNNNNNNNNNNNNNNNNNNNNNNNNNNNNNNNNNNNNNNNNNNNNNNNNNNNNNNNNNNNNNNNNNNNNNNNNNNNNNNNNNNNNNNNNNNNNNNNNNNNNNNNNNNNNNNNNNNNNNUUGGGGUUUGAUUGGUGGGAGAGAUACCGUCCGUGGAUACAAUCCCUGUGAUUGUGUUAGCCAUUACUUUUGAAUGAUAUUGAUUUCAGCACCAUGCUAGCUUAUUUGCUGUUAGUUUCUAGCAACUAGUAUAUGCAGCCAAUUAAAGAAAUAAUGAAACUUGGUGGACACGUUAAAAUUUAAAGAAAUGCUAUUUAAAUUGGCAUGUAUCAGGUAAUAAUCGACGACUUUAAUGGGGGGAAAUCUGAAAAAUUAAAGGGUAAACGAUGUUUUAUAGAAUUAAAUUUCUACAUAGGAUGCCGUUGGAGAACAAGAGAUCAGCUUAGCAGAGUAUUCUUUCUCCAUCCCACUGUAUAAGAAUCAUGGAAAACCCCAGUUGAUUUCUUAGAGGAAAGAGGGAGGAAGAAGAAGCAGAGGAAGAACAAGAACUUUGACCAGCUGAUUCUGUAGUUGAAUUGGUUUGAACGGAAUUUGAAGAAUCUUCGUUUCUUCUGGAAUCAGUUUCUAGAGUGUUUAUUAUUCUGUUGCCCAGUCAAACUUCUCGUUCCCUUUACUUUUCCUUCCCUCCCAUUUUUGCAAGCUUCUCAUUCAAUGACUACCCAUCUUCUCCAUUUCUGAUCUACUCUUCCCCUCAAAGCUUUCAUCUUUUCCUCACAAUUCGAAAAAAAAUAUUAUAGGGUCACUGCUUUUUCUGUCGAUUUAUUCAUAUUUGCUUCACUUCUUUUCUGACUGGUCUGUGGCUAGCUAGAUCUUGGGUCUUCUGGUUCAAAGAUCAAAGCUUUAAUUCUUGGGCCGCCACAAGCAGCAUCAGCUGAUUGUGUUGAAAGAAGCAACCAGCGGAGACAUCCACAAAAGGUAUGAGCUUGGUGGGGAGUUGGGAAGGGGGGAGUUUGGGAUCACGUAUCUGUGUACGGACAAGGAGAGUGGAGCGACUUUUGCCUGCAAGUCAAUCUCCAAGAAGAAGCUGCUGACGGCUGUGGAUAUAGAGGAUGUCAGGAGGGAAGUGGCGAUCAUGAGACAUUUGCCUGUGCACCAAAACUUUGUUACAUUGAAGGAUACUUACGAGGAUGAUGCUGCUGUGCAUUUGGUGAUGGAGUUGUGUCAAGGUGGAGAGUUGUUUGAUAGGAUUAUUGCUAGAGGUCAUUACACUGAAAGAGCUGCUGCUUCUGUCCUCAAGACCAUUGUGGAGGUUGUUCAGGUAAAAAAGCUAGCUUUGACUCCCAAAAGCUUUGCGCUUUUGCAUUUCUAAGUGACUUUAACUAGGAAUUUUGAUAAUAUAGGCAAUCAAAAUCACGAUAUAACUAGAGAAAGUUGGAUCUAGUAAAAGUGAUUUUGGGAUUCGAACUUUCUGGUCUAACAAGUGAGAGUGUUGCAUGGAAUUUUAAGCAUUUUCCCACUUGGACAGGAAAUUUACAUCUUGACAAAGUGAUUUUGGAGAGUGAACUUUUCCGUUGCCAUCUAAAUUUCAUUCAACUUUCCACCUAUCAAACCAAAAUAACAGAUGUAAAUAGAUUUCAGUUUCAAUCCUUCCUGCAAUUUGUUGUGUUAAUGUGAAAGUGUUGGUUUAUUUCCCUUUUGAAUGACAGAUGUGCCAUACACAUGGAGUAAUGCAUAGAGAUCUAAAGCCUGAGAACUUUUUGUUUGCGAAUAAAAAGGAGACUGCGCCUCUCAAGGCCAUUGACUUUGGGCUGUCAGUGUUUUUCAAGCCUGGUAAUGCUUUACUGGUGACUUCUUUGUGUUGCAGUUACAGUGUUUUUACCUUAACUAAUUUUUCCUUCUUUCCAGGCGAGACAUACACUGAGAUUGUGGGAAGUCCAUAUUACAUGGCUCCUGAAGUGUUGAAACGGAACUACGGCCCUGAAAUCGACGUCUGGAGUGCUGGUGUUAUACUUUACAUCUUACUUUGAAGAUGCUCAACCCUGAUCCCAAACGUCGCCUCACAGCCCAGGAAGUGCUAGGUAGGUGUCCUCUUCUAGAACUUGUGCUUCUUACACGUGUUCGUUCUAAUUUUGAACAUUGUUUCUUAUAAUGCAGAUCAUCCUUGGCUGCAAAAUUCGAGCAGUGCUCCCAAUGUUUCCUUGGGGGAUGCGGUAAAAGCAAGGCUCAAGCAAUUCUCUGCAAUGAACAAGCUCAAGAAAAGGGCUUUAAGGGUACAUUGAUAUGUUUGCAUUAACAAUCUGAGAAGUCAUGUAAUGCUGAUAAUUUUGUAUGGUGUUUCGUAACUGUUUUUGUUAAUGUCAACAGGUGAUCGCUGAGCGCUUAUCAGUGGAGGAAGCUGCAAGCAUCAAGGAGGGUUUCCAGCUUAUAGAUGCUAGAAACAUUGGGAAGGUUAACAUUGACGAUCUGCGUAUUGGCUUACAGAAGUUAGGCCAUCAAGUCACUGAGGCUGAUAUUCAUAAUCUAAUGGAAGCUGUAAGUGACAUCGUUAUUACUUUUUCCUGUAACAUAGUUUCACUACCGAAGACAAGUCGAUAAAGUGGCUGAAACACGAAGCCUUUUGUCAUUUCACAGGGUGAUGUUGAUGGGGACGGAUAUCUGGACUAUGGAGAGUUUGUGACCAUUUCUGUUCACCUAAGAAAGAUAGGGAACGAUGACCACAUUCGCAAAGCUUUCGAGUACUUUGACCGAAACCAAACCGGGCACAUCGAGAUCGAAGAGCUACGUGAAGCUUUGGCAGACGAUGUCGAUGCACAGGGCGAAGAAAUUAUCAGCGCCAUUAUACAAGAUGUUGACACGGACAAGGUUAGUAAUAUAAGUAUACCAUCACGACUUGUAAUUGUAUUCUCUGAUUAUAUACUGCCUUAGUUAUAACCCAUUCUUACUGAGUAGUUGUUGCCAUGUGGGAUUUCCAGGAUGGAAAAAUAAGCUACGAUGAGUUUGCAGCAAUGAUGAAAGCCGGUACAGACUGGAGGAAGGCAUCAAGGCAGUAUUCGAGAGAACGGUUCAGCAAUUUGAGUAUGACACUAAUGGAGGACGGAUCUUUGCGGGGGAGCAAAGAUUAAUGUAACGAACCAUAGCGGGACCAGCCCCGGAUUCUUUUUAAAGUUCAUUUUUUCCAUAAGCUAUAUAUAUAUAUAGAGACUUUCUGGGUGAGAUAUGCUUACUUGAGUGAAUCUUAUAUGCGUUUCUUUCUUUCAUUUUCUUGGCGUGGAAGGAAACUAGAAAGUGGCUGUACAUACUACAUACUAAAUAGUAUUACUUUGAAAUUUGAACGAUACUUAAAUUUUCGCUGUACUGUAAGACUGUAUUUUAGGGAAUUUUCAGAGUUAUAAUCCUUUAAUUUAUUGAGAAGAGCAUUGAACUAUCUAUAUCAUUCAUAAAAAAAGAUACACAAAGUUGCAUUAAGACACAUCUUUUGUGAGCAGCAUAAUCAUUUCCCUCUCAGGGCCUCUCAGCUCAUACAUAACUUGGCCUCCUAAGAUAUCCUUUUCUUUCAGAUAGCGUUUACUGUAGGGCCUCCAUUUUCUAUACUUGUAUUCAGCUCCCAGAACUUCCUGAGCCAAACACAAAAGCUGAAACUUUGUCAUUUUCAUCACAGAUUUAGGACAGACACAAUAACCAUCCAAAUAAUUAUAUUUUCAGCUAACUGAAUAGAGACGGAGAAGCAGGCUGACAUUAUAUCCAGUUCCAUAUCAAAUGAUGCAGGCUAAUUGUGAUUCACAUAAGUUGCAUAUGUAAAGCUAAUGCUCGCUCUACCUGGCAUCAAGGAGAUGUCUUUCCCAUUUUAGGCAGUAGACAGCUAAAAAGUUCACUCUAGGAAGACUUGAAUUCUGUCGCCCACUGUGUCUUUGAAAUCCAACAGCAGCUUGCCUCCUGCUUCACCGGCCGCCUCAUCCAACAGUUCUUUGAUGUUGACACCUCCCAAAGCUGUUUCAUGUAGACAUAUCGGUAAAGAUUACUCUUAAGUUUUAACUUUAGCAAGAUUUCAACAGACUAUUAGUAAUGUUAUCUCAAAAUGACAGUGGAAUUAUACCCGGUACGAUGUUAGUUAUUCCAUCCAAGAAACCAGCCUGCACAGCACAAGCGAAAAAAUAUCGUUAUUUGGACAAACAUAUUCUUCGGGUGCUACAUUACUAGCUAAUGUAUCAAAUCAGUGGUGCUUUUCAAAAGAUUCUAAACAGCAGAAAUCAAAGCUCGGGUAACUGGUUUAUUCGUCAUGAUGACCACUUGAUGUUGAUAAACUGUUCUUUUUUCUAACAAGAGUUCGAAUAGGUGGAAGGAUUGACGGAUGAACAUCUUAUCCAGCUAAGAUAUGUGUCAUUACUCACAUGUGGCACGAAAGAACCCAAUACGUAGAGGAAUCUAAGAUGAAUGCUAGCAAAUAGUUGCUUCACUAGGAGAGGAAAAGAGAGACUCACAGGAAUUCUAACGUCAAGUUUCUCAAACCCAUCAUUGCCAGUUAUCUUAACCCUCAAUGUUCGCGACCAGAUUCCAGAAAAGGGACCUCUGGAACCAUCUGCACCAUAGGCAUUGUAUACAUCAGGAGUAAUCACUUCCACAACAGGCUCUUGGGGACUUUCACUUCUUUGUUCUUUAUCAUCUUGAUCCCUCCGUUGUACAGAAUAAACAUUACUGCUUGCUGAUGAAUAACAUACAGUUUAAGAAUGAGGAAACUGUAACAUAGAAACCGUCAUUAUCUCCAUAUUUCCAAGAACACAAUUGUAAACAGGAAAAGCUUAGCAAGCCAAUUAAAACAAAAUUGUGAAAGAAAAAAGAGUUCUUAUGGGUUGUCCCAAGCCAGAAUUAUAUGGAGGGCUAACAAAAGAACGAUUAGAAUACACAGUACAGAACACAAGUAUGCCCUGCAUGCAACCUCUUUUGCAGAAAAAUGUAUUAUGUUUAGCUGAAUAUCUAGGUAAGAAUCUGAGCAUGGAUCAUGGAAAUAUUAAAAUGAUGAUGCAGAUUUCAUCAUAAAUCUGAGGAGAAUUUUCAAUACAUAUUUUGCAGAUGUUUCUUCUUAACUUAAGAGAUUUCAAUUCUAACCAACCUGGCUGCCUGGAAACUGAGUUGCUGCUAGUAGCAUACCGCUUCUCUUCUUCAUAGUAAGCAUUGAACCCUAAGGUCUCCUUUAUUUCUUCAAAUGAAGGCAUGCUUCCAGGAGGAGGAAUCCGGCCUCCCUUAAUGGCAGUAAGUGCAUCCUGCGGAAAAAGAAAAACUUGGUUUCAAACUGUAUGAUUCACAUUAUCACCUUAGUUUAAACCUUGCAUUUCAAGUUUCUCAAAAUUUUAUGAAUCUCGAAGAUUUAUGAAAUCUGAGCACUAUUGUAUUCCAGACACGACCAGAGGUAUUAUUAUCAAUGGCAAUGCACCAAGUACAACUCUCAGAUUGACACCUAUGAUUCUUAAUAUCCUUCUUAGGUAUGCUCUAGGGGAACUAAUAAGCAAUCCUAUUUAGAUCAUAAAAAUGUCAGAACUGACAGCUUUAGUAUAUCAUAUGUGUACUUGAACCAUUAGGGAGAGAGUAUGACCUGCAUUGCUUGAAUGGAGACUCCAAUCAAGGAAAGAGGAUACGCCACAAGCUUGUAGCCAAUUUCCUCCAGCUCCAAGGGGUUGAGUAUGGGAGUUUUACCACCUCCUUCAAGCAUAUUGGCCUUCAAUAAAAGAAAGAGUUAGCCAGCAUCAACAUCAUGGUGAAGUAUCAGAAAACAAGGGUUACCUUAGAGAAUAUCCUGACAAGAGGAUCAAAUCAAUUAUCAUAUUUUCUAAUCAUCUGUUUAUGAUUCUCAAACUCGAUAACAAGAGAAAAAGAAAACAUAUAAAUAAAGAGGGAAAGCCAAGACAAAUAUAAAACGAAAUUAUCCUUUCAUACAACUAUAUGCUGCUUAUACUUUCAAUUAUCAACAGAAAUAUACUUCAUCGGUUCAUCCACAAGAAUUUCAUCAUAUGCAGUAAUUUGCUAUCAUUUGCAGCAUGAUAAUUGUGAUUUGUAAACUCAAACGGGCUAAAUUUGAGAGACUGAUUCAAAUACAAGAAACUGUACCAUUUUUGGAACUUGAGGAGAUACGUCACAGAAAGCUCUCAUUUCUUCUCUUGAACCUAAUGCAUCAAUGAAAAGGACAUCCGCCCCAGCUUCAGCAAAAGCUCCGGACCUCCAGAGUGCUUCGUCCAAGGAAAUCGCUUGACGAGAAUCAGUUCGUGCGACAAUCACUAUGUCAGAGCCAGACUCUUGCCGUGCAUCAACAGCUGCUUUUAUCCUCAUCACUGCCUCUUCUCGCGAGACCACUUUCCUACCGCGGGUAUGGCCACAAGCUUUUGGAGACACCUUCCAGAAACGUAUUCCAGAGACAUCCAAACAAUACAAGUUGCAGGUUAUUGAGGUUCACUUCUGAUGAUUUAGAUGUGCAUAGUUUUCACCAAAUUAUUGAUGAACAAAUUUAUUGCAUAGUAAAAAAGACAAACCUGGUCUUCAAGAAUGAUGCCAGCAAAACCAGCAUUAAUGUAUCCCUUGACUGUCCUUUUAACACUCAUGGCAUUCCCAUAUCCAUUAUCACCAUCUCCAAUAACAGGGAUUGACACAGCUUGAGUGAUUUGCUGCCCUUGAUCCACCAUUUCCCCAUAGGAUAUGAAUCCAGUAUCAGGCAGCCCCAAUCUAGCAGCUGAUAUCGAAAACCCUAGAGCAAAGAAAUCAAAUUGAAAUGAAUCACUUGUCUGCAGCUUCGAAUUUGUAAGAAAGCAACAACACAACAAGUGAAGAAAGAAGCCAUGUAAACUGUUAAUAUAUUGUUGUGAGUAUUAUCAAACCCUUAAUUGGAAUCAACGCUAAUUUUAAUCAGUAAUCAGUACCACUGGUAAAGCAGAAGAGAAAUCCGGAUUUCUCAACAAGCUUAGCGCUGAGAGCGUCGAAACAAGCAGGACCUUGGUGAACUCCAGGGGAGUCGAGGAUGGAUCGGAGAGUCUUCGCCGGCGAGUCAGAAGCAGAGCAAACUACUCUGGUGGCUCUUGAUAUCCGUCGUUUUGUGGCGCUGAAGACAUUGUUGUUGAAGAGUAAAAGGGAGUUGCGGGGUUUGAAGUUGGAAGGAGAAGAAGAAGAAGGGAAUGGUAAGGAGAAGGUGGGUGAGGAUGGCAGAGAGGACUGUGAGAAAGAAGGAUGAGCAACAGAAAUUUGGGUUAGUGCAUUCAUUGUUGGGUGUGAUUGUGGAGACUGAAGAACUAAGUGAUCUCUUUCUGAGUAUCUGAUUUUUGUUAGCAGGAACUGGUCGCUACCAGAUAAUUAGUUUCAAAUAUUGCAGGUUCAUACAUUUUUCCUUUUUUUCCUUAAGUAAACAUUUUCCAUUUUAAAUCCUUAAAAAUUUGAUCUUUUUCCCGUUAAGUCUGCUGACCAAAACAUGUUAUUUACUUCCUUUCCCAGCUUCCUGUUUUGUAUGGCUUCUUACAUUCAUUGUGUUGAUCUGAUCAAGAACACCAGAAUGUUUGCAGGAGAUGAUGAAGGUUACUUGUUCAAGCUUUGAGUUUCCAUUUUCCAUUUUCCUUUCAAUCUAAAGGUUACGGAGCAAACCAACAAUCGUGACGAGACCCUAUACCAAUACUUCCGGAAGAGAAUUCUCUGCAACCGAAACAUAAAUGCUUCAAGUUUCCAUUCUCCAAUUCUGAAUCAUCAGUUCCUCAACGGUUUGGAGUUCGGACUAUACAGUUUACAAUAAAAAUGCUAAUAACCACUUAAAAAUGAAGACUAAUCAAUAACCAGUGUAGAAGGAUAUGUAUAGGUUUCUAACGUGAAUCCACAAUGAUCUUAUUAUAUAGUUCUAAUCUAAGUCGUAAAGCAUAUCUUCAUUGUUUUGAGCUACUUCCUGCAACUGUUCCUCUACUGUGACCUGCCAACCCAGCUUCCUCAUCUCGUUUGCUUCUCUCUGCAUUUCCGUCUCCCUCGUCUCCAGAUUCGUCUUCGUCUUUCUCGCCUCUGCAAAAUGGAUCAACCACAUGACCGAGGGCAGUAUAUCGGCCAAUUAGAUGCCAUAAACGCAUAGGUUAUUUUUUCAGACAAAAUUGUCGAUUUCUGUGUACCUUGAGUAGAUGACCAAACCAACAGCUACGGCACCAAAUGCGAGGAAGUACAUCCAAUCAACCUGAGCAGAGAUGAUAAAGAAUUAGGUUGCUGGAAAUUCAACUCAGAAAUUUUUCUUGGAUUUUAACGUCAGUGAAGCAGAUUAGCUAACGAACCUUCUGAUGGUAUGCAAAAAUGCGAAUCAAGACAGCCCACAUGUCCGACGAUAGUAAUGACAGGUUGAGCAUUGUAGACCCGUUAAUCUGCGAAUAAGAGCAUUGUACGUAAGUGAACAUACAAGGAACGAGAGGAAAGAAAAAUCAAAGGACAUAAUCCUAAUAAUACAUCCUCAGUUUAAUGACAUCCCUUAAUAAAUCAGUAUGCCUAUACUGAAUGAAAGACCAGUUAUGCAACUUAAAACCGUACCUUAAGCAGAAUAGGGACCAGAGAGUAGAACAGAAACAUCGCCAAAGAAAAGCCAACAAAUGGAAGAGCCUGAAACAAUCAAACAAUCGUACAGGAGCACUUUAGAUAAAAUUGAAAUCCAAUAGAGCAGAACACUGGAAAAUGAUUGGGGUAGUCGGUUCGCGCAAUGGUAUGCAGACAAUAAGAGAGAUAGGGAGAGACUUCCUUACAAUCAAGUGCAACCAGCAAAACAGUAGUCGAAAUUUCAUAGAUUUUGAUAAAAGGAUUUCUAUAUCAGAUGAGAGAAAGAAUAGAUCUUUUAACCAUAAACAGCUUCUGUAAUAUUGAAUUUUUGGCAGAAUAAAGCGAUCCUCCUGUAAAGAACUGAAUGUUUUACACGAGAAACAGAAUUGAAGAUACUUACUGCUCCAGCUGACCAGUGAAUUGAUCUAAGCUCGCUACGCUCCAAAAUAGCUCUGCGUAUAUCGUUAAGGAAUUAUGAAGAAACAUCUUAUACAACAACAGCAUCAAUACAAGAAUAUUCCACAUACGAGGAAGUUAGUUACAUUCCCCCUGCCAAUUCAACAAAUGCAUAGAAGUAGAAGAGCAUUGUACUUAAUUAAGGAUACAUUUGGAUAGCACUGAUAAUGGCGCCGAAAAACCCCAGCAGGGCCAUGAGUUCAACUCUGUCAGCACUCUUGACGAGAAACUCCUGUUCAACAUAAUAGAGCAUUAAUUCAGAUAAAUAGCUAAUCCUUAAAUUUGGAGUGACGUGGCAUAUAAGAAGUAACUGAUAAGAAGAGAAGCACUGAAAGAGGAACCACAGAAAGGAUACAGAUAGCAGAAUCGAACUAAUGAUAGCAGGAAGUUGUUCACUAGCAUAGUAAUCAAUAGCCUUAAUAACUAGUUAGUUGUUGUUGUUACUCAUCAGAUUCAGAUGGACUUACCUCACUGACGUUACUGACUGCAUACAGAGUUGCCCCAGCAACGACUAGAACAUCUCCUAACCAAGGCUUGCUUCCUCCUGCAAGAGAAGGAUACAUUAUAGUAGCUUCGAAAAAGUGAUCUAUUGAACCCAAUUCAAGAUCAGUCUUGGAAUAAAUGGCAUUGCCGGUCUGCCAAAAGUUGCAUUCAAUAGAGUGCAAAUUUCAUACUGAAGUGAGGUGUUGAAGAUAUCCAAAUGAAUGAAGCAGCACAAACUAGACUGGUUAAGUAUUUUUUGGAACAAAAAAGCACAUAAUUUUGAAAAGUACUUCUUCUGAUAAGCCAGGAAAAGAGAGCAUUGAAGGAUAAGCUCCUACUUGCUACAGAGUUAAGCUUUACGAGAAUCAAUUGCUAACCACAUACACCAAAAGAGAAGCCAGUAACACUCUUGGAAACAGCUGAGCCUACCUGAUGAUCUAUCAGCAGCAUGAACGUCUGAAAAAACAAUAAGAAUAAGACCAGCCACACAAACUAUAACUCCAGAUAUCUUCUUGAAUCUAUACUUUGUCUUGAGAAACAACCAGGUAAGAAGCAUCACGCACGGAAUCGCCCAACAAUCCAGCAACAUUACACUCGUGAGAGAGGUGUACUGAUAGGCCUUCACCACUGCACCACCAGAGAACAGUAGUUCAGUUGUGAUACGGAACAAUCUUGCUAUCAGAGCAAAAGGAUUCCAUAUAUUUUAAAAUACUAAAGAGAAAUGAAAUUUCAGCUUCAUAGUUUCUAAGACAUUGGCAGUUCAUCUUUUUGCAAGAAUUCCCAGUGCUAUGAAACAUUCAUAUUAUGAACGUAAGUAACUUGAACUGUUGACAUGAGACACUUACCAAGAAAAUUGGCCUCCACGUCGAUCACUCCAAGAAUCAAAUAGUAGUACCAUUUAGCCUGUAAAAAGCCCCAUAUAUCAAUGAGGAUUUAUUCGUACAAAUAAUCCAAAAUUGUUAGUUUUUCUCAACCAUUUCCUAAUAACCAGCAGUUUGACUAUGAACACCCAUCAACUUCAAUUAAAUGAUCUAGUUUCCUUCUACUUAAUGUCUAUGAAGAAAAUAUAAGUAAUCAAAUUACCUUAAGUUUUUGUUUCCUAUAUAGCAUAACGCCCCCGUAAACAACAGCCAAUAAUACAUAAUUUAAAAAGGAUUGUGAAGUUGGAGCAUUGAUCCCUGAAAAAAGAGUCAAAGAGCCAGACUUGUCAAAAACAAUAACAAGUUCGGGAAGCUGAUUCUAUCAUUUUGCAUUAUAUGAUUCAACAGAAAUAUGGAACACCAAUCAAUUAAAGUGAAAGAAAGAAGGAACUAAUAAGAACAGACAAAACAGGCCAAUAUGGACCAAACAAGCACACACACAAAAAACUCCAAACGCUAAAACAGUGCAAAAUGGAAAAGAUCAGCAACAAAAAGAAUAUGUCUUUCCAUCCAAUUCUACCCCCAAAGAGGCCCAGCAAACAAUUCAAUAACAAGGGUUUCUAAAAAGUGAACCUUUUCUGGCGAGCUCGGAUGAUAAGAAACCAGUAGAAGUUAUGAGCAGGGAGAGGAAUUGGCCCAAUCCAAGACCCACCAACGUUUUCGUGGUGCAGAACUCGUUGAAGUUUAACAUUCUAUCGAAACCCAGAAGAGAAAACUAGGCAAUCGGAGUCCCACGAUCCGAGCUUUUGUAUUUGGAACCCGAAUGCCGAAACAGGGGAAUCCAACAACCACCGCCGUCUAUUUGUUUCUUACUGAAUAAAUGGAGUUUGGUGGGAGAUUGACUGGUGAUAGUGAGAGUGAAAAGGAGAGCUGGGUUUUCAAAGUCUUUGAGACCAAUAAUAAACGUUGGAGGCGGGGAAUUGCCGCCAGCCGUAGAACUUCGGCGAGAUAGUGGAAAAAUAAGGAAAAUUAUAGGCUUUUUUACAGGAGGGGCAGCUCCAAUGGCAGACUGGUUUUGUUCUGAGUUUUGAUGGCUAAAAGAUUUUGAUUCUCGCACGAUACGGAAUAGAAGAAUCACAGCAAAUCAUUGUAUAAUUGUACAUUUUUAAGAGAGUAUGUUAUUUUAUCGAGUAAAAUAUGUCCCUAUCGCGAUGGAAAGAACUAUUUUUACCCCAAAAUGACAGUGCAAGUGGUAAAGAGUAUAUGUGGUUAGUCCAAAGUUUUGGAUUCGAAUUUGGUAUAUUUUACGAAAUAAACACCAAUUUUGUAUAUUUUUUAUUCGCCGGAUUAGGAUUGUCCCAUUGGUUGAAUUAUAAUAUUGUUGGUGUUUCUCUUCCACGAUUUGUGCAGUCCGAUUUCAAUACUAAUUAAGCGCGUUUCCACGCUAUAUUCUACCAAAAAAUAUGAAUUAACUAUGGACUAGUACACAGCCAGCGGAUCCAAAAUAAUUUAGUAUACUAACCUAAAUUAUAAAGAAUUUGAAAACGAAUGUAAAACUAUACUGAAAUUAUGUAAUAGUGGAAUUAUAAAUUGGGGAAUGGGCAUGUGUGGCGUAGGAAAGAUAAUGCCUAAUUAAGUUAUAGAGAUUUAUGUAGCUUCCGUUCCUCUUAUUUUUAAAAUUUAAGAGAGCAAUACUACCUGACAAUUUAAGCUAAGCAUGACUGCAUGAGAGCCAUGCGCGGAACUAGAGGUGAGUCGGGAGUUCCGACUUAUCCAAUUUUCGAUCCAGAUUAUUAUUUACUGAUGUAUAUUUUAAAAAAAAGAUUCAAUUCAGAAAAAAUUUAAGUCCUAUUUAGUAUUUAGUUGUGUCGAAAUUAGAUGGAGUUAAGAAGAGUCCCGAUUAUCUUAUUUCUUAAUCUCAAGUACUAUAUUAUAUGUAAAAUUUGGAUGAUUAGUUGAUUCUUAGUUGCUUCUUUCAAAAAGUCUUAGUUGGUUCUUUCAAAGUCACAACUGGACAUUGAGAAGAAAAGUCUUCAAUGCAGAUCCUUGAACAAAGCUCCAUUUUUAUACCGGAUAAAGGAUUUACAAUUUACAUUAACAUCAACAGCAAUCUCCAUCCAAAAACACCGGCUUAAGGAAAUAUAUAUCAAAUAUUAAAUGAUUUUCUAAAUCACGUAGUAGGAUGCCAUAUAAACUGAAGAAAGUUUGUUUCUUUUCUACUACUGGUGAUUGACUGGAGAGCAAAGUGGCUAGCUUUUUCAUUUCUGGACCUGACUUUAAUUUAUUCCUUUCCCAAAACUACAAUCGAUUAGGUAAAUGUGAAAGGUGAUGGAAAUGAAAGCAUAAACCUACAGAAAGGAUGCUCAAUUAUUCAUCCCCUUGCUUAAAAGAACAACUAGAAAAUGACACCUCACCUAACCACAAAAAUAAUAAUAGAAAUUUUNNNNNNNNNNNNNNNNNNNNNNNNNNNNNNNNNNNNNNNNNNNNNNNNNNNNNNNNNNNNNNNNNNNNNNNNNNNNNNNNNNGGAUACUAUACCGUGGACAGUUUGUUAAGCGUUCCGUCAAUCUGCACGAAGUAUGCUUCGAGAAGCAUUUCUAGCUCCUCGACAUCAAGGUGCUUGCUUACAGCACUCCUAGUGGUACUAGUGAGUGUGCGGCUAAGUGCACCAUGUGCACUGUAAGGAUGAUCGUUUGUAUGAUCAGCUGUUUGAAUAUCUGGAUCGUAGCUGGUGGAAGCAUCAUGACCUUCCCUAGAGGCUUCAGCAUUCGGGCUGGUGAAACAUGAGUUCAAUCUGUUGAGUAAACAGCACGAACAAAAAGGUGGAAAAAUGGAGAACCUUUUUUAAGGAAUGAAAUCAUAAUAGUUACUUGUCGUCCAUCGCAGGUGGCAGACCAUCUUCCAUUUCAUCUCCAUCGCUGAAAGAAGAAGCAGUCGAGUUUUCCAUGCUGGCUAACUUUUCUGUCAGGUACAUUUCAGCCAUGUCCUCGUCGUCAUCAAGUAAGUGCUCGAGUUCAUCCCUAACCUGUAAAUGAUCAUAACCAAGGUGGUCAAAUUGUGGAUUCAACGUGAAAUCAUAGUAAUCGAAAGAUUCCACGACUUUUCUAUAAUAGAAAAUAUUUAAAUACUGACAGAAGCAUAAAUACAUAAAGUAGCUAGAUGUUGAUUAGAUUCAUUAUUCAAGGUCUAAAUAAACAUGAUAAUCAAUCCAAGAGAAUAAGUUUUCAUCAAAAUACGACAUCCAUAAGUUAACAUCCAGUUGAAUCGGGGUCUGGGCAAAACAUUAGUUGAGGGGAGAAAGUGGAAUCGUGAAUCGGGUGGAGUCUCCGAUUCCACCGAUUUAACACUCCUUUUCGUUCGAUUCCACCUGGUUCAGAUUUUUAGUAGAAUCAAGAUCGCUAGGCCUAAGUAACAUCGUAAAAUUGCGAUUUUAACUUCUAUGAUCAUAACUGCAUAUCAGUCUCUAUAUCAGUCUCUCGGCAUAAGACACAGCUAGAAACUCAACAGCGGAAUUCAGAGCCAGCACUAAAACACACCUCGCCAGUAUUCCAUUUACUCUUUUCUGGCAAGAAGUCAAUAAAAGGAGUCACAGGAAUACAAGCUUUUGACAACUAACCUUUUGCACUCGACCAGUAAUUGCCACUAACCGACUCUUAAUCUGCCGGACACGUUCUAAGUUGAGAGUACUGAUUUUUGAAGUCAGCUUAUCCAAUGCAGGGUGCGCUUCUUGCUCCAAAGUUUUGGCCUGUUUAGGAGAUGAAAAACAACAACAGAAGAAAAUAGCAAAGGAACUUAGCAAAAGGAAAAGGUGCCAAAACAUGAAGCAUAUAAAUUGUCAAGAAUAACAGCAAUGAAACAAAAGCUCACUUCAAUUUCUAAGCAGCCACAUGCAGCUUCCAAGCAUGCUUCUAAAGCUACAAACUCAAACGGGAGAACCUUCGAUCCAUCACGAUUCUCCAUGCUCUGCCUCCCAUCUCCCAUCCUCCCUUCUUCAUGAUCUUGAGCAAGUAAUGAAUGAUCAGGAAAAUUUUCAGGACUACCAGUACUUGAUUUUGGCCCUUGUGAAUCUUGCAUAGUCUUCAAAUUUAUAUCUUCACCAUUGCCGUCCUAUAACAAGGAUAAAUAAGUUCCAGGAGAAUUGUUAUCAUCACCAUAAAGAGAAGAAUCAGAAAAGUAGAUGAAUGGAAAACCAUUGUGGAAUCCGAAACAAACAUAUCAAAUGCUGAAAACUAUUCCAAAUUGACAUUUCUCUUGGGACAAAAGACUGCUCUCUCUGCAAUUUCUUAAUUUCACUCCACAAUAUAAUUAACUGGAUCCAGAGAUCUCAGUAUGAAAUUUUCAAGAUAAUAUUCUAUCAAGUCAUAUAUAGCUUCAUAAAUCAUUUCGAGACAAAAGUUCCAUAAACCCAUUGAUCACAAUCCAUCACUAACUCACAAUUUAAGCAACAUCGAAAGGAGCAACAAAGCAUAAAUAUUCAGUACCUGUGCCUUGGUAGCUUGGUAAUGGAAAGAAAUCCUCUUUUGCAGCUCUUCAACAAAGGGAGUGACAGAAGGGUCCUUGGAAUUCAGUAACAGAACCUCCUGGGCGGUUAUGAUCGCCUUGAUAUGCUCUAGAUUGAUGACAAUCGCCCGCUCACGACCCAAUACAGUGGAAGGGUAUGACAGAAGGGGGUCAAGGAUUCGAAGGUCACGGGCAGGUAACCCUGUUCGGCGCAUGAUGGCAUGCUUCCCAGCCUCCACCACCUGCGUCUGACCGGUUGAAUCCAGCAGGAGCCAUGCCCGAACUCCGGUGCCUUUCUUGCGGGCAGUAAUGAGGGUAGUGGCUGGCCGGCUCAGUGGGUCUGUGUCAACGUCAUUGGGUUUGGACAGUGGAGUCAGAUUAGGCCUCAUUGGCAGCAAUCGAUGAUCGGGAACUGCAGUCGACGUGGAAUAGCGUAGUUAAAACUUAAAAUAACAACGAUAUGAAGCUUCAAAUGGUUUUUCAGCUCAACUUGUAGAAAAAAUCAAUCUCUAGCUGGGUAACUCAAUAAUUUCCCAUGAAAUGCCAAAGGAACGCAACCAUUCAUCCGAAUUCAGGAAGCAUCGGAUAUGUGAAACAAUCAAUUGAUGAGUGUCAUAUAGAAUCAAACUUACACUAAAUUGAGAAUUUUCGGCGUCGACUUGACCAGCUGAUCUAUUUUUUUUUUUCGCUUUCGUCGCUUCGAUUCCGUUCUCUGAGCUUAGCUUCGUUGCUUGGAAAAUAAUCGCAGCACAAACAACGUACAACAAAUGACGGAAGAAAGAGUUACGUCGUAGCGAUACUUCAGUAUCCUCCCGGCGAUUUGAUGCUCCUCCUCGGCUUUUUUCCAGCAGCAAACGGACUGAGAAUGGAAGAGGAAGCAGAUUCAAUUUGGAAACUAGCAAAGGAAGACAAUGGAUCUUCGUCUGUGCUGACUCUGUUAGAAUGUGAAUCAAGAUUUCAUCAACCCUAACUCUACUGAGCUCGUCUGUGAUGCCAAAAUUGCUGAUGAUCGUGCUCCAUCUGUGACUUUGUUUUCAAUGAGAUCCAUUUUUACCAAACUACCCUUCAAAGCCUCCGAAACUAAAACGGUAAAACCCUACGCAACCACACUGACGAACAGAGCUUCAAAGCGUUAACCCGAAAAAGGACGCACCUUUUCACCGAGCGAGAAAUGAGAAGGUGGGUUGCUAAGACUCUUCUUCAAUCGCGUUCCCUUCCAUUUCCAAUCAGUCACUCGAAAACCAGGUUGCUCACAAGUUCUUCCUCCGACAAUCUGGAAGGUUUGGUUGACCCGGAUGACCUUUCUCUCUCAGGGCCAGAGUCAAUUUCCAGUGAAGAGUUUACUCUUCUGCGGGAUUCUUUAUUGAACCCUCAUUCUUCUUCUUCUUCUUCUUCUUCUGCUGGUAAGUUCUCAGAUGAAGCGUUGAUGGUUGUUGAUGUGAUCUUGAGUGUUAAUGAUCAGUUUGGUAAAGAAACCGUGAAGUUGCUCAGGCGGCAUAGGGAGAAGUUAAGCGAGUCUUUGGUGAUUGAGGUUCUGAAUUUGCUCAAUAGCCCUGAACUAGGUCUUAGAUUCUUCAUAUGGGCUGGCCAGCAAAUCGGAUAUUCCCACACUUUACCUGUGUACAAUGCGCUACUAGAGUUGUUGCAGAGAAAUAAUAGUGCUGCUGGAGGUAGAAUACCAGAGCAGUUCCUGCUGCAAAUCGAAGGUGGUAAGGUAGAAUACCGGAGCAGCUCCUGCUGCAAAUCGAAGGUGGUGAUGACAAGGAAGUUCUAGGGAAGUUACUUAACGUGUUGGUUCGCAAAUGUUGUCGAAACGGUUUGUGGAAUGUUGCUCUGGAGGAGCUAGGUAGACUUAAGGAUUAUGGAUACAAGCCGUCGAGAUCGACUUACAAUGCUUUGGUCCAAGUGUUCCUCAGAGCUGAAAGGUUAGACACUGCUUCUCUGCUUCAUAAAGAAAUGUCAGGUUUAGGGUAUGCAAUGGAUGGUUUUACUUUGGGAUGUUUUGCUUGUUCUCUUUGUAAAGCUGGGAAAUGGAGAGAAGCAUUGAAGUUAAUUGAGGAUGAGGAAUUCAAACCUGAUACUGUGCUUUUUACCAACAUGAUAUCCGGAUUGUGUGAAGCCUCGCUCUUUGACGUAGCUAUGGAUUUCUUAACAAGAAUGCGAGUUUAUUCUUGUAUUCCUAAUGUUCUGACUUAUAGGAUUUUGCUCUGUGGGUGUUUGAGAAAGAAACAGCUUGGUAGAUGUAAAAGAAUUUUGAAUAUGAUGAUUACAGAAGGAUGCUACCCAAGUCCAGCCAUUUUUAACUCUUUAGUUAAUGCUUAUUGCAAAUUGAGGGAUUAUGCUUACGCUUAUAAACUUAUUAAGAAAAUGAUGGAAUGUGGGUGCCAGCCGGGUUACAUAGUCUACAACAUAUUUAUUGGUGGUGUUUGUGGAAAUCAGGAGUUGCCUGAGGCGAGUGCCCUUGAAUUGGCUGAAAAAGCAUAUCGGGAAAUGCUCGAUGCGGGAGUCACAUUGAAUAAGGUCAACGUUAGCAACCUUGCAUGGUGUCUUUGUGGUGCUGGAAAAUUCGAGGAGGCAUAUUGUCUCAUUAGUGAAAUGAUGAGCAAGGGCUUUAUACCAGAUACCAGUACAUAUUCCCAGGUCAUUACUUGUCUCUGUAAUUCGACCAAAGUAGAAAAGGCCUUUCUAUUAUUUCAAGAAAUGAGGAAGAAUGGAAUUCUGCCAGAUGUGUACACAUAUACGCAAUUGAUCGACAGUUUUUGUAAGGUAGGUUUACUAAAACAGGCUCGCAGGUGGUUUGAUGAAAUGGAGGAAAAUGGAUGUGCCCCUAAUGUAGUGACUUACACAGCACUUAUACAUGCUUACCUUAAAGCAAGGAAGGUGUCCGAUGCAAACGAAAUUUUCGAGCUGAUGUUGUCCAAGGGCUCAGUUCCUAAUGUCGUUACAUAUACAGCACUGAUCGAUGGAUAUUGUAAAGCCAGAGAGAUUGAGAAGGCUUGCAAAAUAUAUGCAAGAAUGAAACAGGAAAAUGUUGAAAAUUCAGAAGUAGAUAUGUAUUUUGGGGUGGUUGAUACAGAGUCCGAGGAACCAAAUCAUUUUACGUAUGGAGCUUUGGUUGACGGCUUAUGCAAAGCUCAUAAGGUGAAAGAGGCACAUGAGUUAUUAGAAGCAAUGUCGGCAAGUGGUUGUCAGCCGAAUCAUAUCAUAUAUGAUGCCCUUUUAGAUGGAUGUUGCAAGGUCGGUAAGCUAGAUGAGGCGCAAGAGGUGUUUACUCAGAUGAUAGAGCAUGGCUACAAUCCGAAUGUAUAUUCAUACAGCUCUUUGAUAGACAGGUUGUUCAAAGAUAAGCGAUUAGAUCUCGCCUUGAAAGUGCUGUCCAAAAUGCUUGAGAAUUCUUGUGCUCCUAAUGUUGUUAUCUACACUGAAAUGAUUGACGGUCUAUGCAAAGUUGGAAAGACUGAUGAAGCAUAUAAACUUAUGGUUAUGAUGGAAGAAAAGAAGUGUCAUCCGAAUGUUGUGACGUAUACUGCAAUGAUUGAUGGCUUUGGGAAAGCUGGAAGACUUGAUAAAUGCCUUCAGCUUUUUCAAAAGAUGGCUUCCAAGGGCUGUGCUCCGAAUUUCGUCACUUAUAAGGUUCUGAUAAACCAUUGUUGUGCAGCUAGCCUGUUGGACGAGGCUCUUAAACUCUUGGAAGAGAUGAAAGAGACACACUGGCCAAAGCAUGUAGCAGGUUAUCGUAAAGUCAUUGAAGGGUUCAAUAGAGAAUUUAUUGCUUCUCUGGAUCUGUUGGAUGAGUUUAGUGAAAAGGAAGCAGUACCAGUUUCCCCUAUUUACAGAGUUCUGAUCGAUAGUUUUGCUAAGGCCGGAAGACUAGAGAAAGCUUUAGAACUGUACAAAGAAGUCUCAUCAUUCUUAGCACCAUCAGCAGCUAACCGGAAUAUGUAUAUUUCUUUAAUAGAGGGCCUUGCACUUGCUAAUAGGGUUGAUAUGGCUUUUGAUUUGCAUGUUGAUAUGACUUUAAAAGGCAUCAUUCCUGAGGUUGGCACCGUCGUUCACCUGAUCAAAGGUCUUUUGAGAUUAAACAGGUGGGAUCAAAUACUGCAGCUUUCAGAUGGGAUAUGCCAGGCGGUAUGCUUCUAUUACAUUCAUUCUCCCAUCCCCUCAACAACCAUAUGCUCACUAGUUGCAUGAAUAUAUGUUUUUAGUCAUAUGACCAGAGAGCUGAAAAUGGUUCUGAUUAUGCUUGUUUUCUUCAGAAUAAUAGUGCAGCUAUGUAUAUGUCCUCCCAUGUUUCAUUACUAUUUUCAGUAAAUAGAUCCACUUUGAUAGUUUGUUCCGGAAAUAUUAUGUAGAAUUCUCCCUAACUGUUUCUCCUUGUUGCUUUUGCUCAAUUUCCAGGCAAGAAUUGCAGGAAACACUUGCUAAUAAGAAUGCUGAACCAUCUGUUCUGCAUCAACGGUCUCUCACAUGGCCAAGAAAGUUAUUCAAAUAUAGUUUUUUCAUCUCCAGCCGAGAGAAAUGUGCAAUCCACUGAGGUUACACGAUAGCAUAGUGCUUCUCGGGCAAUAGAAACUAAAUUUGAUGGUCACGAAGCUAAGGUAAAUAUGAAUGAGAUCCAUGUUUUUUUUGCCUGGUCUAUUUGGAACUUAAUUUGAAAGUGCCCCUGUUAUUUUUCUCAUAGGAUAAUGAACCCCAGAGUCCUGCAAUAUCGAGAAGUCACCAAGAGUUGACAAUGAGCAGUCCUAAAAUUCUGAAUCCGUAAAUGACAGUAAGAACGAUGCCAUUGAUAACAAGUCCGGAUUUACUGCAUGGAAUGAUGUUCAUUUGAAAGUCAAGCUGCUUAACGGAACUAGUAUAACGUUGAGAAUGGUCAAAGUUCAUCAACUUGAGAACCAGAUGGAAGUAGAAUGUGGCUGUACAGUGAGUCCCUUCUUUUACACUGUUGGCAUUUUUUAUGAUUAGGCGUUUUGGCAAUAUAUCCAGAAGGACUUGUUUUGCCUCUAAAUUGUUAUGUUAUUCAUUGUAGGUCCGAAUCAGGCACCGCUGAAAGCUGCAAAUCAAAGCAAUCAGGCAGCUGGCCCAAGCGAUGUCACAAGGACGAAGAGACACAAUACGGUGGAUAUCAAGCCAAGUCAUCUGAAUUCUAGACAGUAAGGAGUACAGUCUCUUCCAACCAUACAAAAGAAAAGCUCUUGCCUUUGCACUCUUAUGGUUUUGAUCAACGAACUGUGUUUGUUUUGUAUUUUGUGCAGCAUAUACCCUCAAAGUUUACGAAGCAACACGCAUUUAUGAGAGAUGUGAAGGCAGUGAAGCUGGAGGUUGGGGACAAGGUUUGGUCGGUAAGGAUCUGUCUUGGACCUGACAAUAUGUCUGUCAAGAUUGCCGCUGGCUGGAGUAGGUUCGUGAAAAAAAACUCGCUCAAACUCAGAGAUGUUUGUGUGUUCAAGCUGAUGGAAAAAUCCCCUGAGGUCCGAAUGAAGGUCACCAUCAUUAGAGGUGUCUGAAGAUGCAGCAGUACUGUUUUGUGUUUAAAUUUUGCUGUAUUGUUAAUUCAAGAAUCAGGUUGUUAGUGGAUUGUAGUAAGUAACCAUUUGAACAGGUAGGGUUUGGUUAAAUUAUGUUGGAUUUUCAAUAGCUUUGAUCAGAAACUUCAAGGGAGCUUUGCUGGUAGGUGAAAAUGCAAAUUGAUCAGCACUUCUGUUGGUAAAUUCUUUAAUGAGGUCAUGUAUUGUCUCUCAAGCAAGCUUCUUAUUGAUUCAUGUUGAAUUCUCAAAUGUCUCUUCGUCCCGUGAUAUACAGAGCUUCUGGCCACAUGAAUUGCUACUAGUGAGUCAGAAGACAAUAGAGAUGUCAGUGGAGUAGAGAUUGGAAGAUCAGAUAGCAAGGCUCUAAGCCAUUCAGCUUCUUCACAAAUCUCAAAACAAAGGCUAGACAACCAAACUUCCACUAUGCAAAUUUCUUUAACCCAGACGCACAUUUCUUGCGGCAUGAUGUUGUAGUCAAUUGAUUAAUCUAUACGUGGCUGUCAAGUGUUUUGAGUCUUAAUUUCUGUAGUUGAUUCCUCUGUUGAUCAUAGACUUCUGACUUCACGGUUUUGACUGAGCAUUUGACAGAAUUUGUAUUUCAAAAGUCUGUUUCUUGAACGGCUAAACAAGUGGUACUACAAAGUUAUUUUUUCAAGUAAGUGAACUGUUUUGUACAUGAAGAAAACAUAAGGUACCAUGAGGGUUAUCUAUUCCCAUGCAACCAAACGAAAACUUUCUAGUUUGGCAUUCCUCUGCAGACUGCAAAGGCUAGCAGACUAAUGGCAAGGAGGAGGAAAUAGACCUCCUUUAAUGGCAGCCUGUAGAUUAUCAGUUUACAGAUAUGAUUUAUUUGUUUCCUAGCAUCACAACCUUGAAGCAUAGGAAUGCAGCAGACAGGUGGGUGGUGUUUAAAUGUCAUGAAACAAGAGCCAAAGAAGUUCAAUUUCAUCAGCAAUAAGGCUGUCAAUUAGUUGCAAAUCACACAUCUCAGCUGCAUAAUCAAAGUUGAAAGAUACUUGCUUUGGUGUCCAAUUAGUUGUAUCAACUUGAAAAAUGUUGCUGGUGUGACAGUGUUUCCUCACAUUAGCUGAUGAUCAGAGAUAUUUUGAUACAUGGUGAUAAAUGAUUCACCAGCACAGCACAGCUGUAUAUUUUGAAUUGUUCAAGGCCUGCAGCUUCAUUUGCAGCCUUUUGAUAAUUGUGAGAUCACCAUGAAACACUCAAAUAUCCAUUGGACAAAAGAAACUCAUCAUCAUUAAAUAGUCCACAGAAGAAACAAACUAAGGCCAUGUAGUGUCCCUCCCUUAUUGGCUGCUUCCCACAAAUUGAACAAAUAGGAAGUGUUUUAUCUUUAACUGAUGCUAUCUCUGUCAUUUAGCCAAAAGCAGUAAUUUUGAAGCCAUUUCUUCAUUCUUCCUCCCACUAGUCCACAGAUUCACAAAGAAGCAGAUUUUGAACAACUUUUUCACUCUACAAGAAAAAGAAGAAGAAGACCAAGAGAGAAGUUAAGGAACAAUGGCUGCAUCUUCAAGCCAGGCUAGGCGUGGAGAGGAAGUAAUCCGUUUCAUCAAGAUCAUCUUUGAAUCUACCAUCCUUGACAAGAAGCUGGUAAACCUAGCUAUAAACUCCUCCAUCUCUCUUUUCACUUUUGCAAGAAUUAUGAUGAUUAGUUGCGUAGUUUAGAAGUACUGAAUAGAAACGGUUGUAAUGCAGAAGAUACCUAGCAAAUUUAUCAGUGAGUUUGGACAGCAGCUGGUUGGAUGUGCUGCUGCUACUUUAGAGGCUCCCAGUGGAGACAAAUGGGAAGUUGGUUUGGAGAAGGAUAGGCAAGGGUUUGUUUGGUUCUGCAACGAUGGAUGGGAGAGAUUCGCAAAGUUCUACACUUUGGAGCAUGGCCACUUCUUGCUUUUCGGGUACAGAGGCCGCACUGAUUUCUCAGUAGUUAUAUGCGACAUCUAUGCUGCUGAGAUUCCCUACCCGACAUUGAGCUUCCCUGCUCGUGUUGAAAUCGAACAUGAGGAGGAGGACUCCCUUCCUAUUUCUCUGGAGAGCUUAAGUGUUGAUGCUGCUGCUGCAAAUGAGAAAGCCAAAUCUCCUAUGGUUGAUGAUUCUGCAGGUUGGUUAAACCAAACCGGUCUGAAACUUAUCUAUCCCAUGUAAAUGCUGAUUCUUUCUUUAUGGUGGUGUUGUAAUUUGCUGUUACAUUUGUAGGCUCGUAUGAUGCUUCUGAAGAUCCUUCCGGAUCGGAACUUUCCUCGUUCAAGAUCAGAAUCCCACCAAGUUAUCUGAAUGCUAGACAGCGAGUAGUACGUCUCAUCCAACCAUGCAAAGAAGAGUUCUUUUUUGCCUGCACUUAUAUGUUUUUGAUCCACUGUGUUCUUUUCUUUUUGGGCAGAAUAUACAUCGAAGUUUACAAGGAAACACUCGUUUAUGAGACAUGUGAAGGAGGUGAAGCUGAUGGUAGGGAACAAGGUUUGGCCAGUAAGGGCCGGUCUCGGACGUGGCAUUUCUGUCAAGCUGGCAUCUGGCUGUAUUGGGUUCGCGAAAGAAAACUCCCUGGAAGUCGAAGAUGUUUGUGUUCGAGCUGAUCGCAACAUCCCCUGACACAAAUCCAAUUUGAACCUCAUGAACCACUUCUUGAAACUCUCUUAGGCUGAUGGUAGAUGGAUCGAGGGGCUGCUCCAAACUUCCCGUACCGAGCCGCAUUGAAAAAAUAAAUGUUCACAUAUCUCAUUUUGCAAUCCACAACACCCACACAAAGAGCUUGGGGCGCAUCUUCUUCUUGCAAGAUUAACCUUCAUCGAAAGCUUAUCUUCACAGGCCUUCCAUAAAAAGAAUUUGAUUUUCGAUGGAAGCGAAAGAUUCCAUAGCCAACGCCACUCUUGAUUCAUGCCUUCAUUCAUACCCAGACUCAUACUUUGCUGACCAUGUUUCAGCAAUUUAUAACAAGACUUCACCGAAUUUUUUUUUUUACGAUCAUAAUGCCAAAUCCAUCAAUCUUUAAGAUUAGGUGGACACAAAAAGAUCUUCAAAAUCUCUUUAACCAUAUACUCAGGGAAGAAAAGCCUUAACUUUGAACCAUUCCAAACUCUAAAGGGAAAGAUAACACAAUUACUAAUCUUACAGCUUGCAAGAGGAGGGAAUGGCACAAGAAGUCCUCAGCGUUCGGGAACCAAGCCUCGUUAAACCAGGUCGCCUCUCCAUUGCCAACAUUUUUUUGAAGCCCUUUAAUCAACGCAUCUCGACCAGCCAUGAUACUCGACCAAAUCCAUGACGAUUUGGAAAAUAUAAUGUCUUGAGGACCCGAACACAUAAAGCUUGAGGCUGUUGGAUGAUCUUCCAACCCAGUUUAAUAAGGAAAGAGAGAUUGAACUCCUUAAAACUUCUAAAUCCCAAACCUCCUUAAAAUUUUGAGGACGUCAGUUGCUCACGGUUACACCAGUGAAUCAAUCGCUUGGAUCCAUCAGCCGACCACCAAAAUCUAGCAACAAGAGUAUCCAUCUUCAUCAAGAGUCCAUCUGGGAACUUAUAGCACGAGAAAAUAAAGGAUGGAAUGGCUUGCAGGAUAGCUUUUGAUAAAGUCUCUCUUCCCCUUUGAGACAACAACAUGUUUUUCCACAAGCCAGCUCUCUUGGUUAUCCUAACGAGGAUAAAGUGAAAGGUAUCCACUUUGCACCUCCCUCAUUCAGCCGGCAGGCCCAUAUACUUUCCAAAUCGGCUUUCGUAAUUGACUUGCAAAAUCCCAGCCAUAACCUCCCUAAUAUCCUCCGAGGUGUUUUAGAGAAGAAAAUAUAUGACUUCUCCUCAUUGAUUUUUUGUCCAGAGAUAUUCGCAUAGAUAGCUAGAAUCUACUUGAUAUGAACUGCUUCAUCAUUUGUCGCCCGACCGAAGACGAUUGUGUCAUCAAGAAGCAAAACGUGAGAAAGAACAGGGCAAAUGAAGUGUGAGCUUAAUUCCUUGAUAAGCCCCUGGCUCAUAUCUUUGUGGAAGAGGAAUGACAAUGCAUUGGAGACAAUAAUAAAGAGGAAGGGGGAGAGCGGACCCUCCUUUCGGAUUCCUCUCGUUGGUUUGAAGUAGUUUGUAGUUGAUCCGUUGAUCAUGACUGUGAAAUCCAAUUAACCCAAGUGUUACUGAAUCCCAUCUACAGCAAAAUAAGAAAUAAAAAAUCCCAUGAAACCCUAUCAUACGCUUUCAUCAUGUCAACCUUAACGAGGAAGUCAUAAGUUUUCCCUUUAUUCCGAUACUUCAGCCGAUGGAUCGUCUCAUGAACAAUAACUACACUAUCCUGGACAGAACGAUUUCCCAUAAAAGCAGCCUGAAGCUCUGAGAUCAAUCCUGGCAUAAAAGGUUUCAGCCUCAUUGCAAGGAUUUUUUAGAUAACCUUCGCUCUAAAGUUCGCCACACUAAUCGGCCGACAUUGAGAAAUCUUUUCUGGCAGCAGGGUCUUGAGAAUUAAGGCUAUGUGAGUUUUGUUCCAAUCUUUCGGAUAGAUAGACGUUUGGAAGAAUUCCUGAAUUUCUUGACAUAAUUCGCCUUUAAUCAACUCCCAAUGAUCCUGAAAGAAACAUCCAGGAAAAUCAUCAGGUCCAGGGGACUUUGUCGGUUCCAACUGGAAGUCAGCCACUUUAAUCUCCUGUUCCGUCACAGCCUUAGAUAACACUUGGUUCAUAUAUUCAGUAACCAUUCUCGGGAAGUCUUGCAAAAUAGAGUAGUCAACAACAGUGCGGGGUUUUUCAACAAAUCAUGAAAAAGGUAGAAAUAUGGCUUCGCAACUCAGCUGGUUACUCAAUCCAUACUUCCUCGUCAUUCUUCAGUUUAGAUAUCAAAUUUCUUCACCUUCUGUGAAUAGUGGACAUGUGCAAAAUCGGGUAUUUUUAUCACCCAACUGGAGCCAGUUAACACACGCUCUCCGCGCCCAAUAUUCUUCCUCAAUCUUCUAAUUUCUAACAAGGUGCUCCCGAGCAUCCUUUUGACUUUGCAACACAGCUUCAGAGGUAAGUAGAAUAGCGAGGCUAUUAAACUCCUCAUAAAGAUCCUGAAUCUUAAUGCGAUUAACACUAACAUUAUUUUUCUUCCAUUUUGUUAACUUGAUUGAACACAUCUUAAGGCUCUUAUUAAUAUUUCUUCCUUUCACCCAUUCCUCCCUAACCACCUCUUAAUAACCGAUAGCAUGUUGUCAUCCUUGUUCAUAAUAGAAUCUUUCUCCUACUAGAUCCCGAGAGCCAUUCUGCUUAAUGAUAAGGAACUCAAUGUUCAUUGAAAACUGUUGUAUGAGGGUAGUGGUAAAUCCAUCCUCCAUUACUCAUAGCCUGAUCCAAUCUGACUUUGACGACAUUACCCCUUGUAUUGUUGUUACACCACGUGAAUCCAUUUCCCGAACUCCAAAGAUCACCAAUUCCUACAUCAAAAAUAAAAUCGUUAAAGAGCUGUAAGGCCCAAGACGGAGGUGAAAUUCCUCCUUCCUUCUCUUCCUGACACGCAAUAGCAUUAAAGUCUCCAGUCAAGCACCAUGACACCUCUUGUUCACGAUCAAACGACAGAAUUUGGUUCCACACUUACUCUCCACCUUCCCUCCAAUGCACAUCAAUAUAGUUUUUUAUUGUUUUGAGAAUUUCGAUUUGAAUGUCAUGAGUCUACCACAAAGCAAACCCUCCUGACAGAACAACUGGAUCAACGUACUCUUCAUUCCUAAAUUUCAUCUUAUUCCUCAGUUUUUCCAUUACAUUUCUCUGUUGCUUAGUUUUCAUGAGGAAUACAAUGAAAGGGGCAGUACUUGUGAAUCAAGUCCUGCAAGUGAUUGAUUGUAGGGGACUGUCCCAUAUCCCUACAGUUCCAACUAAUAAUCAUGACUGAUGUAGUGGUUUAUGGCCUGUCAUCAUGGCCUUUGGGUUGCUUUCUUCAUAAUCACUGUAAACUCUUUCUUCCCCUGAUCAUUCCUCUUAGAAUGUUUAUUUGUUAUCUUUACUUUCCUCCUUGUUUGGUACAUGCCUUCCAUGAAUCUACCCCUUCACCAACAUGAAGCUCACCUUCACUUUCAGACAUUAUCUUACACUUCUUCCCACUAUCUCUCUGGUCUUCAAACACCUCCUUUCUCUUUUGGCAUGGUCCUUCCCAUCCAAGUUGGUGCUGGGGCAUGACGGGUUUUAGGUCUUGGUAAGAUGGUGGGAAUUGAGGCAAUUGGUGCAAUAGAGUUUGGUAAGGAGGAUAAUUGGGUUGGGUAUUACAGUAGCAUUGGAUAGCUUCUGCUACAUGAAGAAUGUUUUGAGAUAACAAGAAAUGGGCUAGUUGCGUUGUCAUGUGGUUCGAAACAUUUGGGGUAGGUUGAUAAGAAAAAGUCAGAAAGUUCUGUUCCUCCUUACUAGUGGGUUUGGGCCAAAAAAUAUUUGGAUUUGAGAGAUCAGUCAAAGGAGUUGCAGCUGUCUUGGUGUUCUAGAGAACAGCUUUCUCGAAGAACUCAGAAGACUAUGUUACUUGCGUCUCAAGCAACCAGGCGUUCAUGUGGAAAAAAUACAUGUUCGAACAUAGAAGUUUUUCGAUACGCAUCGAACUGGGAGACUCGGUAUCAUUAGUGGAUCAGUGCAGGGAUUUAGGCCAACAUAUACAACUUAUUGUGCAGGGAUCAAAUGAAAAUUGCAGUGCUGAGAAGUGCUAGCAGAGGUAUUACCAAAUGGCAAUUUGGUUCAAUUUUUGUGUGUCAUCUGACAAGGAGUAAAUGAAUCAUAUAUAAUCCUCUAGGUGUGUCACAUGUGGACUUCAUGUGGUGGUACUAAGGUAUAAGAUUUUGACCGUGAAGCUGCACCGAAAACGAUAUAAUUGAGCAGAAUCUUUUAAGGUUAACUUUGAUUAAUUAACAGUCUAAAAAUCGUGAUAAAAUGAUACCGGUUUUUGCCUCCGGUACUCGGUUGAGGUCGUUACAGUAGGCCUGGCUAGCUGGAAUUAACCAAUUUCCUUGAUAUAAACACUAUGCUUAAUGUGGUUAAUUAGUGGAAGAAGAAGGAUACAAUUUAUAUAAUACAAAAUAAUCUGAGUUGCCGGCAUGCAUCUCCAAUUUUGAUGGAUGCCAGCAAUGAAUAUCAAUAUGGUGAAGUUUGUGGUUAAUUAUGCAGUUUGUUCAUAUUACACUACCUUAUACUGACAAAAAACUUGAUGAUCUCACCAUCCCUUAGUGCAGAAUUGUGUUACAGAGUGACUUCAAAAGUUGAGUGGUGCAUCCACAGCAAACUCCAACUUGGAUACGCAAAGCUUAAGUAUUUGUACUAAUUAGCAGAUAACUAUGAAUUAAUUAAACCGUGUAUAUGCUUCUAAAUGCAUGAAUGCAUCUCGUAUGUGCUAGCUAGCUGCACAUUUUUAACUUAUCCUCUUAAACCUAUGUGAUUUGCUUAAUUUAUCUAUAGAUUCUAUACACAUUUAGAGAACACAGAUUUUGUUUAUUUUAAUAAUAAUUUAGUCAAAUCACCAUGGUUGGUUCGGACUACCGUAACCGUAUGAUGCGGGACAUAUAUGUUUCCUUAAUAAAUAAAAAUUAAUGGUGGUUUGAUUUUAUGAUUUAGUCGAAGCGAUUUUGAAUCUUAAGAGAUUUGAAAUAGGAAAGAUUUCAAAUAUAUAAGUGAUUUUUUAAAAUAAUUUGUUUAGUGGAAUUUUGAAAAUUAAAAGAGAAAUUUUGAUUGGUAAGUGACUAAUACACACCUAACUUGUUCACAUUCUUUUAAACCAAUAAGGCAAUUUGGUCACUUUUUACUCAAUUCACUUGGGAUUUGGUAAGCUUUUUGUCGAUGAAAUAGAUUUGAAAUUAUCUCCCAAAUCACUUGGGGUGGAAUAUCACUCAGACCCACAAAAUCACUCUCCAAAUCCAAACAAACAAAUGACCCCUAAGGUGUAUAUGGUGGCGGCAUAAAUGGGAUGUAAGGGCUGACUAUCCUAUACCACGGCCACCCAUGAUAUCUAGUUCUUUAUAAUUAGCUAAAUUUUCUUAUCUACAAUAAAUAUGAUGUAUUUUCAAAUUUCAGAUUCUGCCACAUCAACAUAACUGCCAUCUAAACCUUCAAUCCAUAUUUUCAAGAUUCCGGCCAAUCAAAUUUUAUUCUAAUACCCCUCUUAUUUUAAUUUANNNNNNNNNNNNNNNNNNNNNNNNNNNNNNNNNNNNNNNNNNNNNNNNNNNNNNNNNNNNNNNNNNNNNNNNNNNNNNNNNNNNNNNNNNNNNNNNNNNNNNNNNNNNNNNNNNNNNNNNNNNNNNNNNNNNNNNNNNNNNNNNNNNNNNNNNNNNNNNNNNNNNNNNNNNNNNNNNNNNNNNNNNNNNNNNNNNNNNNNNNNNNNNNNNNNNNNNNNNNNNNNNNNNNNNNNNNNNNNNNNNNNNNNNNNNNNNNNNNNNNNNNNNNNNNNNNNNNNNNNNNNNNNNNNNNNNNNNNNNNNNNNNNNNNNNNNNNNNNNNNNNNNNNNNNNNNNNNNNNNNNNNNNNNNNNNNNNNNNNNNNNNNNNNNNNNNNNNNNNNNNNNNNNNNNNNNNNNNNNNNNNNNNNNNNNNNNNNNNNNNNNNNNNNNNNNNNNNNNNNNNNNNNNNNNNNNNNNNNNNNNUUAUUAUUAAAUUAGAUGAUUAAUUAUAAACAUUUAUGUUUUUUUAGUUUAUUAAGAUGUUUAAAAAGAUAAAAUUUAUAUAUGUACGACAAAUCAGGUAAGAUACUAAUAAAUUUUACACGUUUUCAAAUUUAAUCCAAUAAUAUAUUAAGUCUUUACAUCUCAAAUCCGCUACUCAAUUUUUUUGAGAAAACAUGAUUCUAAUUGUCGGAUAAAUCCUUAAUUAGCCAUUUUAGACACAUUUUAUUCUUCUUUUAAAUCUCAGUUUUGUCUAACCACAAGUACUUAAUCUUUGUGGAACUUUCGGUAUCACUAAACAAAUAUUUUGUACACUUAAGUGCAAAAAAAAGAGAAAAAUAUAACACCAGGCCGUAAGCCGCCAUGCAUGUGGUAAUAUACAAAUACUAAAUUAAUUCCACCUCCAUUCAUGCAUAAUAAUUGUGCCUAUAAAUAAAUGGCAUAUAUUAUCCAGGCACAACAAAAUCAUUGAGAGCAUAUCAUACAUUAAUAGUUCGAUAUGGUCAGCAUAAAGCUGAGUACUAGUACUUCAUCAGCAUCAUUGACCAUACUAUUGUCGCUGCUGAUGAUCUCGUGUAUGGCUACGAAUGUCGAAGCCCAACUAAGAGCCGACUACUAUGCAUCAACGUGCCCGAAACUUGCACAAAUCGUGCGUAGGGAAGUGAUGAAUGCAAUCAAGGCCGAAACCCGGAUGGCAGCCUCCUUGCUCCGCCUUCAUUUCCACGAUUGCUUUGUCAACGUACGUAUGAUUUCAUAUUCGUUGUUGAUGUUGUUUUUUCGAUCUAAUUAUUAUCGGUGUUAGCGAAUGAACAUAUAUAAUUGUUGUUGUGUCGUUUUUCAGGGAUGUGACGGUUCUCUUUUGUUGGAUGGGAGUGACAGUGAGAAGUUAGCGAGGCCUAACUUGAACUCGGCCAGGGGGUUCGAAGUUGUGGACUCGAUCAAAACGGCAGUGGAAAGCCAGUGCAGUGGUGUCGUAUCUUGUGCUGACAUUCUUGCCUUGGCUUCCCGCGAUUCCGUGCUCUUGGUAUAGUAACUAACUAGAUCAACAAACCUAUUAUUGACUUUGUUUGUUUCUUCAACUUGUUGGGCUUUGCUAAGAUAUCCAAAAAUCCUAAUUUAACGUGCAGAGUGGAGGCCCGUCGUGGAAAGUGCCGCUAGGGAGAAGAGAUGGGCUUGUGGCUAAUCAGACUGCUGCUAAUGGGCUACCAGGCCCAUUUGAUAACCUAACACUCAUAGUGACCAAGUUUGCAGCAGUUGGCCUUGAUGAUAUCUCUGAUGUCAUCUCCUUGUCAGGUAAUCUCUAUACUAGUCUUUUAUGAUUAAAAAUCCAUGUUUUACCCUUUUUGAAUUUUGAUCGAGCCUCCUGGUUAUCGAGUUGAGUUGUUAGUUAGAUAAAUGAUCGAACCAUGUCCACCGGACCGUCUGAUUAAAAAUCCACUAAAAUAUGUUAUCUUUUUCAAAUUUUGAUCGAGCCUCGUAGUUAUUCAUUCAAGUUGUCGGUUAGACAAAUAAUCGAACUAGGUGUCCACCAAAUCGUCUCUUAGCUCGGAUUAAAAUGUUACUAUUUCAAAUUUUUGUUCAACCACUUGAUUAGCCAUUCGAGUUAUCGGUUAGACAAAUGAUUGAUCCAUGUCCAUGCAUCAAACUGUCUUUUAUGAUUAAAAAUUCACUAUUAUAUGUUGUCUUUUCUGAAUUAGGAUCGAGCUUUUUGUCUAUCCAUUUGAGCGAUGAGUCAAAAAAAUGAUCAAAUAAUGUCCACUAAACCGUCUCCUACGAUAAUAAAAAAAGUAAAAAAAGUAACUAUUAUAUAUAACCCUUUUCGAAUUUGGAUCAAACAUCUUGGUUAUCCAUUUGAACAAUCAAUUAUACAAAUAAUCAAACCAUGCCCACCAAUGACCAAACCAUAUCUCUUAUGAUUAGAAUAUUACUCUUUUUUUAUUUUGAUUGAGUCUCCUAGUUAUCCAUUCGAGCUAUCAGUUAGACAAAUGAUCGAAUCAUGCCCAUCAAACCAUUUUUUUUAUUAAACAUCCACUAUUCUAUGUUACCUUUUUCGAAUUUUGCCCAGUCUCCUGCUUAUCCGUUCGAGUUGUCGUUUAGGAAAAAUGAUCGAACCACUAACCAACCGAAAAUAACAGAAAAUUUCGGAUCCUGUAGGUGGGCACACAAUUGGACAAGCAAAAUGUGCUACGUUCAGCAACAGGCUGGUCAACUUCAGUCAAACCGGGUCCCCGGAUCCGACAAUGGAGUCCAACUUAGUCGCCGAACUCCAAACCUUGUGUCCGGUGAACGGCGACGGCAACGUCACUACUGCUUUCGACAAGGGCUCCACCGACUUGUUCGACAACCACUACUUCCAGAACCUCGUCAACAACAAAGGGAUUCUGACCUCCGACCAGGUGUUGUUCUCCGGCAACGAGGCCGCCACCGCAGCCGCCAGGAACCUCGUCCAGAUCUACAGCGUCAAUCAGUUUCGGUUCAUGGGCGACUUCGUCAAAUCGAUGAUUCGGAUGGGGAACAUUGGUCCGAUUACUGGGUCGGACGGUGAGAUCAGGAAGAAUUGUAGGGUGGUUAAUUCAGGUUGAUUCCUAGUCAGAUUAGGAUUGUGUAAGAUUAUUAAAAUAUAAUAAUGGUGUGGUGAAGUUAAUUAUGUGUUGAAAAUGUAUUAGUGGUUACGUAAUGAAGUGUCAAGUUGCAUGAUCUUUGUUAAAGCUAUAAUCUGGUAAAGAGGUUUUGGAUUUGUGAUUAUUGAAUCUAAAUAUAAUUAUUUGGUUUUAAUCUUGUGUAACUUUGUUGAAAGUCAAAACUACUUGGCUUAAUCUUAGCAAGUCAAGUAAUGUAAUAAUAGUAAAUUUGGAAAUGACAGUGAUUAGAAAUGAAAAAUGAGAAAUGAACAAAGAGUACGUGUCGUCUCUUUAUAUGAGAAUAUUUAUAACUUAGCACUGAAUAUCAAAGUUCACUACAAAAAAAAUU